rnacentral:lncRNA from 1 species
GGGGGUGCACACGUGAAUUGCAGAGGGAGAGGGAGAAAGAGGGGGAGUAGGGUUGCUAUAUUCAAGUUCUCUUUUUUAUUUUUACUUGAAUUUGAUUUGAUUCUUUUUUUUUUUUGCGACAGGUUGAGAAUGCGAAAGCUCAGCUGGAGGUGGAGGUGAGAAUUUUAAUUUAAUUCAUGGUAUAUCUUUUUUUUUUUGUGGGAUUGUGCUGUUUUUGGGAAAACAAUAUUAAAUUGAAGUUUAGAUAUUUCUGUAAUUGGGAUUUAGAGUAAGAGAUGAAGAACUAUAUGUGAUUGCAAAUUUAAAAGUUUAGAACUUUUUUGGUUUGGAAGCUAAUUUUAAAUUCAGCUAGCUGAUUAAUUAAUAGAGAAAUUAUAACGAAUGUGUGAUACGUUUUUCAAUGCGUAUGAGCAGACAUGGGUACUGCUUCAGCGGCAGCAGCUGCUAUAUGAUGGUAGAUGAGGAAUUCUGAGAUGCUGAGUGCUCUUAGUGUCAGAGAUGAAGACUUGAUAAUGAUCGUUCCAAUUCUGCCUCAAGGUAUACUUGAUAAUGUUGUCCUUUAUGUGCAAUUCACUGUAUGAUGCUCGUUCCUUUAAUGAGCCUGUCAAUAUAUUUCAAUGCACCCACCAAUUGGUUUUAUCAUCAUACAUCAUUCGUGAGAAAUGGGAUGGUGAGUUUCUCAAUACAGUUUUAAUUUUUGUGCGAAUAAUGUUUGUAAAAAGUCUGUUUUUAUUUAGUUCAUUGCAGAUUCUUAUUCUUUUAUUUAGUUCACGAUUCAUGCUUUUAAAGAUAAGAAGUGCAAGGCUCUCUCGGAUGUUAGUUUUGGGUGGCAAUUGAAAGAUACGAGGACAAACAAAAAUACCUACCAAUUGAAAGGAUAAAUUCAAUUGAAAAUAUUUGGUUCAUCAAUUAUUAUAGUUUGAGCUUUCUGCAUUAAAUGUCCAGUUUUCGGGAAGAGUGAUUCAUGUAAUUGGGUUUUAUUAAAAUUUUCAUGAUUUUAUACAGUUUUUCGUUUAAAUUUGUGGAUUCAUAAACACUUUUAUGAGUGUUAAUUUCUGUUCGUAUGUCUAAAAUUUGUUUGGAAUUUGGCUGUUUCUUCAAUUUCAUCACCACCUAUUCUCACAACUUCAUUUAAAGUGUUUUGCAUGUAUAAGAUUCAUAUUCAUGGAGGUCAUUUCAAACGGAUUUCAAGCUGAGCUGCAGAAAUUUGAUUCAAAUUGGUGGAUUUGGGUAAGAAACUAAGAAACCAUUAUCUUUUGUUUCGGUUUUAAGAACUGAAUUUAAUGGUUAAGUUUAUGUUUCAAGAUUAUCUUCCUUUCUCCUAAAUACUGAGUUUUAUGAGAUUACAUUUGGCAAGUCUGAAAACGGAUUAGAAAUACAGAGUUUUAUGAGAUCUAUUUGGCAAGAUUAUCUUCCUUUGUCCUAAAUACUGAGUUUUAUGAGAUCUAUUUGGCAAGUCUGAAAGUGGAUUGCGUAUGUUUAUAUCUCCCUUUCUUCUAAAUACUGAGUUUUAUGAGAUCACACCAUCUUAUGUUUAUUGUAUAAUCUUAUGCAGUCAGAAGAAUUAUCAUCUUUUUCCUUUUAGAUUUCAACAUAUUUGGAAAUACUUCAAAUUUUUUGUAGUGUAGUUUGUACUUGUAGUUUACAUGAUUACGUAAGUUCUAUUUCUUUAGUAAAUUUUUAUGCAGGAAAGAAAGUCAUUUCUCAGUUUAUAGUUAACAUGAUUACAUAAGUUAUGCUUAUCUUAUCAACCUCAUUCACUCGUAUGUUGCUCUGUUCAUUCAUGAUUGUGUUAAAUUUAUUCAGGUUAAAAGUGUCUUAUUCAUGCAGUUACGCAUGAAACAGUUGUUCCCGCGGCAACACGUGGGCUUAUUUUCUAGUUCCAAUGUAAACCUAGAGACGAAACGAGGUCAUAUAUUACAAAGACAUAUUCUAAAACAGCCUUAGCUCAGAGAAUAAAAAAAGGAAAACUAAUGAAAAUGGCUUGAAAACUUUGAGUUUUAACGAUAUGGACAAAAUAAAGGGUAAAGUGAACAGUAUCAGGUUUGACUUUUUAGUGUAAAAAUGUGAUUUUUCGUUAAAGUAAACAGUACAGCAGACUUUUCGUUAAAACUCCCAAUAAAAAAAACCAUGCAGUGAAAACAUCUAAGGGAAACGAGUUGAUCCUCAAUAAACGCCUCAAUAGAAUGACAUCUUUGUUAAAGCAUCUGUUAUAAAAUUAGCUUCAUCUAAAACAUGAUAGAAGCUGAUAUGAUCAAGCAUACCAUGUUUGCCAACAUAAAAGAAGGAUCUUUCCAAGUUUAGGAAGGUGGGAGUUGCCAAAGAGAAACCGAUUUGAGCCGCAUUUUCUUCAAAUAUCUCAGGCAAACGGUCGGCUGACAAAAUGCAGUCAAUGGCUUCAACAUCUUGAGAAUAAAAGGCACAACUAGGAUCAAUUGGUUGUACUUCAUAUAGGGAUAAGACUUGAGUCUCGUCUUUCACAUAUGUUUACUUGUUCAUUCCGGCCAUUAUAUGGUACAACACUGAACAUAGAGUACAACUUUUCCGGCCUCUAAGUCCGGAACCCUCCCAAACAUUGGACACUACAAUACCAAAAUAAAGCAAUAAAAUACAACAGUACAAUACAAUAUAGUUAAAAGCAAUCCAUCUUAGUACAGACUCAAUCGGAUGAAUCAACGGAGCCCUAGUGUUCAAGCUUCCAUCCUUGCGGUAAACUUAAGUGGUGGCUUCAAGAAAUGGAUAAUCAGUGUAACCAAUGACGGGAUCAGUGUGUAAAAUGUCUCUCUGUUGUACUUGUUUAGAGGAGCAUUAAGUUCAAAUCUCUUUGGCAAAUCCGGAUUCGCCAAGAAAAUACGGCCAUAAGCAAUAAGAUCUGCACGGCCCUCGCCCACAGCUCUGUUUCCAUCUUCCCUGUGAUAACUGUAAAUCAUUGUGUAUGUUGAUGAAGAAAGAAUAUGCAGGAAGAAAGACAGAGAGAAAUGUAGAAGAAUAAGAGAGUAAGAGAGUUUAGAGAGUAGAGAGAGAAUCAAGAAUUGUAUUUUCUUUCUAGUUAGUUACAACUGACUAUUACAACAUGUAUUUAUUUGUAUUGGUAGCUUACACUCUAAGCCACACAAUAACCACCUUAACUAACUCUUAUAUCACAGCUAUAGAAUCUUAGUACACCUAUCAUCCCCCCUCAAGCUCAGGGGCAGAGAAAUUGAGCCUGAGAUUGGCACAAUGAGUCUGAAAGAGUGGUGUAGAAAGACCCUUGGUGAGGAUAUCUGCAAACUGCUCAGUAGACGAUACAAACUGAACAUGUAGUUGCUGUUUUGCAACCCUUUCUCGAACAAAAUGGACAUCAACCUCAAUAUGUUUCGUACGUUGAUGUUGAAUUGGAUUGCAAGUCAGUGCAAUUGCAGACAGGUUGUCACAGAAAAGUAAUGGGGGCUCGGCCAAAGGAAUCUGCAAGAACGACAACAGAGAUUUAAUCCAAUCCAAUUCAGCCGCUGUAGUAGAGAGAGCUCGAUAUUCAGCCUCAGUUGAUGAGCGAGAGACAGUGUGUUGUUUCUUAUACAUCCAUGAAAUGGGAUUAGACCCCAAGAACACCACCAUUCCAGUUGUGGACCGUCUAUCGUUCGGAUCACCCGCCCAGUCUGCAUCACUAUAGGCAGUAAGAUCAAGGGAACCUCGAAUAUACUGAAUACCACAGCCUCGAGUAGCCUUUAAGUACCUAAGAAUCCGUUUGACAGCCAUAAAGUGGGAGUCCAUUGGUCGCUGCAUAAACUGGCAGACCUGAUGCACUGCGAAAACAAUGUCAGGCCGCGUAAAAGUCAAGUACUGGAGAGCACCAACCAAGCUCCUGUACAUUGUAGGAUUAUUAUAAGGCUUGCCAUCAUUGCUGAGAAGACGGUUGUAAGGCAAACAUGGAGUAUCACACGGUUUGGACAAUAGCAUAUCAGAUUUAGUAAGCAGAUCCGUAACAUACUUGUCUUGAGAGAGAAACAAACCAUUCUUGUUCUGUACAAUUUGAAUGCCUAGAAAAUAAUGAAGAGGUCCCAAGUCUUUCAUAUCAAACUCAUGAGUAAGAGCUUGAAUAACCUCAGUGAUAGCUUGUGGAUGGCUGCCUGUGAUGAUAAUAUCAUCAACAUACAACAACAGAAUCACCACAUAUGUGUCAACAGUUUUUACAAAUAAAGAUGAAUCUGCAAAUGUAGACUUGAACCCUAAGGAAGGUAGAAAAGUAGUGAACCUUUCAUUCCACCUGUGGUGCCUGUUUCAACCCAUAAAGCGAUUUAUGUAAUCGACAAACAUAAUCUUCAUGUUUAAGAUCAACAAACCCAGGUGGCUGUGUCAUGUAGACCUCUUUCUUGUAAAUAUGCCAUGGAGGAAGGCAUUUUUCACAUCUAAUUGUCUCAAUGUCCAACCAAAGUUUGCUGAUAAAGCUAGAACGAUUCUCACUGUUGUAGGUUUAACAACAGGGCUAAAAGUCUCUCCAUAAUCGAUUCCUUCUUCUUGAUUAAAGCCUUUUGCCACCAGCCGUGCCUUAUACCUCCCAAUUGAGCCAUCAGCAUUCUUUUUUAUCUUAUAUACCCAUUUACACCCGAUUAAAUUCUUGUGACGGGGCAAUGGAACCAAUGACCAUGUUCCCUGAUUAUGCAAAGCCAAUAUCUCAUCUUGCAUAGCAUUAAACCAAACUGGGGAUUUCAACGCAGACUUAUAUGUUGCAGGUUCCACUUAUGUCAAAUCAACCCCCCCAUGUUCAUGAACCUGAGCAAGUAAAGCAAGCUUCUUAAUAAUACCACUUUUGGAUCGUGUCUGCAUAGGAUGGAAGUUCACUGGGGGAACAGAGAGAACCACUUGGAGCUGCUCAGGUUGGAAUUCAGGUACCACAGGAGGUGCAGGGGAGAAGGGUUGUGUAGUUGGAGAAGUAAUGGAAUGAGUAGCAGUUGAAUUUCCUGCACUGUCAGGUGAACCUGUAAUUGGAACCGUAGUGGAGGCUGCUGAAAGUUGCUGGAGUACCAGAUUUGGCAUGCCACUAGAGAUAGAAUCUGAGCUUAAUGAUGCAGGACACUCAGUGUAGGGAUUAAGUGACUCGUGUAACACAAGUACAUUACUAUGAUUAGGAACUGGAAUUGGUGUUUGAGAAUGUGAUGGAGGUGGUGAAAUAGUGGUACAGUGAGAUUUAGAGACCAAAGAACGAUAAGGAAACUCUGUCUCAUCAAAUAAAACAUGUCUAGAAAUAUACAUUUUGUUUUUAGAAGCAUCAUAACAAAGAUAGCCUUUAUAGUUAGAUGCAUAUCCCAAAAAGAUACAUUUUGCAGUGCGGGGAUCUAACUUGGUAUGAGUAUAAGGCCUUAACCAAGGAUAACAAGAACAGCCAAAUAUUUUCAAAUGUGUUAUUACUGGUAUGGAAUUGUGCAGCAAUUGAAACGGAGAUAAAUUUCCCAAGGAAGAAGAUGGCAUUCUAUUAAUGAGGUACACUGAGGUUUUGCAGGCAAAAGACCAAAACACUGAGGGUAAGGAAGCAGACUGUAGCAAAGCAAUGGAAAUUUCAAUAAUAUGCCUGUGUUUUUGUUUAGCUAUUCCAUUCUGUUCGGGUGUGUAAGGACAGGAAAGUUGGUGCUUAAUUCUUUUAUCAGACAAAAAUUGUUGAAAUGCUUUGUUUAUGUAUUCACCACCACCAUCACUGUGAAGAGUUUUAAUGGCUACUUGAAACUGAUUUAAGAUGAAAUUGUAUAAAGAAACAAAUAUACCCGAAACAUCACUUUUAUUGCACAUGGGAAAAAUCCAGCAAUAUUUUGUACAAUGGUCAAUGAAAGUGACAUAAUAUCUAAAUCCAUCUAGAGACACACAAGGAGCAGGACCCCACACAUCACUGUGAACAAGAUCAAAAGGUUUUACAGAUUUAUCUACGGAGGAAGGAAAUGGGAGUUUACUGAAUUUGCCCUCUAAACAUGGGUGACACAGUGAAGGUGUUUGAUCAGCAACACAAAGAACAUGUGAGGAUUCUAAAAUGCGGGAAACAAUUGAAUUAGAGGGAUGACCUAAUCUCUUAUGCCAAAUACUGGUAGUAACUUGUUGUCCCAGAAAAGCUGCAAGGUUCCUUUUGUGGAUGACUGCAGGAGAACUUGGUGAGAUGAUCGGAUACAAACCAUUGUUACACAGCCCUUUGUAAAGCACCCUCCCUGUGGCUUUGUCGUGAGAGAUAGCUAAACCUUCACCAUUUGCAGUCUGAAUAGUCUCAUUAGACGGAUAUGGAGUGGACAAGGAAAGAUUUCCCAAGUCUGAAGUCAUAUGAUUAUUUGCACCUGAAUCAGUAAGCGAAAUUUGCUGCUGUGGAGGAGGAGAUGGCACUGAGAAAGAAGGAUUAGGACCAUUGAGUGUUGCAGCAUGCAUAGCACUCAUUUGAGGAUUGGCAUUCUUUUGAAAACAUGUUUCUGCAGUAUGAUUGGAGUUCCCACAAAUAAAGCAGCCUGAGGGACCACUUGUAUUUCGAAAUCUACAGGUAUCAGCCAUAUGGUUGUGCUUCCCACAAAUUUGGCAACCUUGUGAAACAUUCAUGUUUCGAAAACGACAUGUAGAAGCCAAAUGAUUUGACUUCCCACAUAUUUGACAAAGUUAAGGCUGAAACCCAUAAAUCUGUGUUCUUGGCGGAGAAGCACCAAGAAUGCCAGGUGCAGGAUUUGAAGAGAAGUUCUUUUUAUUACCAUAUCUCGGAUUGAAUUAGAACCAAAACGAUUUCUGCCUUUACCAUUGUGAUUAAAAGACCUGUAUGCAUUUGUAUUGGAACUAGGAUAAUUUCCACCAGAACCUGAAAAAGACUGAUUCUUGGACACCAAGUCAUUGUUCUGUGCCAUUAGUGCAGACAAAACAGGUGAUGCAGAAAUGGUUUCAAUCAAUGCUUCUUCAGCCAACAAUUGAGAACGAAGAUCUUUCAACGAUAUCACAGUUUCACGACCCCGAAUCACAGAUCUUAUAGUAUUAAAUUCAGCAGGCAGACCAUUCAAUGUAAGAAUCACCAUAUCAUCAUCAUCAAAGAAAACACCAGCAGCAAAUAGUAAAUCCCGUGCUUCUUUAAUCUUCUGCAAAUACACAGUGAUAGAAUCAUUACCCUUCUUUAUAUUUUGCAGUUCAGAUUUGAGUUGAAAGAUACUGGUUCUUGUGAUAGUUGAGAACUGUUCUUUAAGCCUAGUCCACAAUUCUUUGGAACUGGUACUACCAAUCGCACAAGAAAUCCCAGCAGGGGACAAGGUUGCAGUGAUCAACUGCAUUAAUGCUUUAUCAUGCAUCUUCCAUACUCUGUAAUCAUCCGAUUGAACUUGGGUAGUAGAACCCCCAGAUAAUUCUUGGCAAAAUUGGUCAGGACAAGGAAUCGAGCCAUCAACAAACCCAAUUAUACUAUGGCCUUCAAGCAGGAGCUCCAUCUGAAAAUGCCAAGCCAAAUAAUUUGUUUCAUCCAACUUCACAUUAACUGAACUUGAAACCGACGAGAUCAAAGAAGCAAUCGGAGACUGAAGAAUAUGUAACUGAGUAGCAGUCACCAUUGUUACCAAUUAGGAGAAAAAUCCCAAGAAAUCUUGACAGAGGAAUAACCACAAACACUUGGUGGGUGUACUUUGAUCGAGAACGAAUCAAAGGAAGAAGAAGACUAAACCAGCCCAAAUUUUAACACAAGAAAUCACAGCAAGGAGAAGUAAUAGGGUAGAAGCGGAAGCAACCAUAACCAAGAUCGAAAUCCGUCAAGCUUUCAUGCUUGUUCCGGCGAUGAUACCAUGUAAACCAUUGUGUAUGUUGAUGAAGAAAGAAUAUGCAGGAAGAAAGGCAGAGAGAAAUGUAGAAGAAUAAGAGAGUAAGAAAGUUUAGAGAGUAGAGAGAGAAUCAAGAAUUGUAUUUUCUUUCUAGUUAGUUACAACUGACUAUUACAACAUGUAUUUAUUUGUAUUGGCAGCUUACACUCUAAGCCACACAAUAACCACCUUAACUAACUCUUAUAUCACAGCUAUAGAAUCUUAGUACACCUAUCAAUAACCACCACCAGCAAUGAAGGUACCAUGGAAAGCCUUUCUCAUGGGAAGAAGACUCUGGUGGGUUUCAGCUUUUUCUCCUAAUGUCUUCAUCCUCGGCUCAACCAUGUGGCAGUACACGAUUCCAUAUUUGUUCAAGGCAUUGGCCAUAUAGAGGCCUAAUUCUUUUGGAUUUGAAUCCCCUGAGUCCAUAUAGUCAGCAAAUGGAGAUAAUCUAAUUCCAACUUUAUCUGCUCCUAUUUCGUUAGCGACAGCUUCAACAACUUCCAGAGGAAGGCGGCAACGAUUCUCUAGAGAUCCACCAUAUUGGUCUGUUCGAUCAUUCACAUGAUCUUUCAGAAACUGAUCAAGAAGGUAGCCAUGCGCCCCAUGAAUUUCAACUCCAUCGAAGCCUAUAUAGCAGAUUAACAAUUUCAACAUACUGACGGUAUUAGAACCCUAAGCAUUGUCGCUGAAUUACCAAACAAAUAAUAUAAAGACAAACUACCGGCUUCAAUAGAAUUCCUUGCAUAAGCUUUGAAGCAAAUUGAGUUGUUGUAAAUUAUGUUUCAUAUGUAACGUAAAGACAAAUUACCAGCUUCAAUAGAAUUCCUUGCAGUAAGUCUAAAAUCAUUGACAAUUUGCGGAAUUUCAUCCGUCCUUAAUCGUCUUGGAGGCGUGAAUUCAGAAGCAUCGAUGCCAUUUAAUCGUAUCGGCUUGUCAGUAGAAGAUAUGGGAGCUUGCCCAUUUGGUUGAUAACCUGUAAGCAAGGAGAGAGAAUUACAACCUGAAGUCUAACGACAGUAACUAACAUCCACAGCAGCACUCUUUUAAGUGGGAAUCCUUUGUUACAAAUUACUAUAACCACACGUGCUAUAUACUAGUUCUGAAUUCUGAGUUAUGUUAACAUCAAGCUUCUUCCCAUCCAAUAAUAAUAAUAACAAUGCUUCCGAAGCAGCAAAGUCAUAACAAGUCCAACUCGGAACUUAACAAGUCCAAGUUUUAUCGUCAUUUUGAGCAACAAUGUUGUCAAUUAUAAUCACUAGCUCGUUCUGAUGCAUACACCAUUAUGUUAUACAUCAAACUUCUUAAUCGGUCUAAUUAUUCACUCAUGUUAACAAAGCAUACUAUGGUAAAAGUGUUGUGCCUUGGCCCGUUUAUCAGUGCGGAAACGAGAUUCAGAUUACAACCUCACCAUAAUCACACUCAGUUGAACAGAAUAAAAUACAAGAAAUAAAGACACCGAGAAAUUUACGAGGUUCGGCAAAAAUCCUGCCUACGUCCCCGGAGAGAUAUUGCUCUUCACUAUGAGAAUAACAGUACAAGUACACAUGAGUUAAAUCAACAUAACCCAAUCCCGAAUCCCUUGCACACCCACUCAUAGAAUUUUCCCAAGAGCCUCACUCUAUCCCAAGAGUUCUUUCACCAGAGACCUUUCACUCUAGCUCUCUUGAUUUCUCUCUCACCCGUGUUCAACCCUUCCCAUGGGAGAGCUGAAUGCUCUCCCCUUUUGGAUGCUCACUCCAUCCUCACAAUCGGCAAGCUCUCUUCAUUUUGUGUGUGAAAAAUGCCUUCACUUAUAGACAUGCACCAUCAAUUAUGUCAACCACAAAACAUGCUUCCACAAAACAUGCUUCCUCAAAACAUGCUUCCACAAAACAUGCUUCCACAAAACAUGCUUCCAAAGUCCACAAAGUUGAGAGGAAAUGGUUGCCAACUCAUAAUUAUAUGAGCCAAACACAACAAUCUCCACCUUGGCGAAUAUACUGUGCAAAAAUCCUUGCACCCAUCACCAAUGUCCAUUGGCCUUACGUACCAGCAUACACAUUCUGAAUCAACCUUGUUGGUCCUGUUCCUGAUUCAGUCACUGCCAAUGCAUGUGCAGCUGCUGCAAGCUAAAAAUCACCAUUUAGCUUCAGACAGGAUCUCGACACAUCCUCGUCUCCUCCAGCAGGUUUUCCUUCUCUUCAUUGUCUGCAACUAGGAAACUCGUCAGCGCGCCCGUUUCCAGUAACAACCCAUCGAGCCAGACAAAAUUCCCACACUUCCUCCUACCUCAUGAUCAUCUCAUCACCUGUGAAUCCCAUAGCUCCACCUGCUGCAAAACCCCUGCAACACUUGAGACUAAACAUCACCAGGAGAAGUGUUGCUUCGAGUACCUAGAGGACAUACUCAAAGUCUUCCGCCACAAACUUGCUACAACCCGGCCUUGCACCGUAGCACUGUGGACCCUUGCCUCCGGAACCGGAUCUGAACCUGCUGUCUCUCUCUGAUCCUCUUUCCAAUUUUCUUCCACGAUUCCAACCUUGAAUAACUUAAGCAGUCUUGUGCCCACCAUCAUCCAUGGUCUCCUUUGUGUAUCAUUCCACACCAAAGAAGCUUGCACCUGCUCCAAACUUACUGUAUCUUUCCAUGCAGUAAAGUUUCACAAGGUUCUAAGACAAAUCUGAAAGUGAGGUAAGAAGAAAGAGGCCUUUGUUUUCUUCCUCAACAUCAACUUUCGCAGUUGAUCCAAGCAUCCCUGAACACGGCUUCCAUUACUCUCCUUUGCCAAGAGUAAAACCGCCUCUUCCUUUAAACUGCUCAACUGAAAAUUCCAUGGUGAACAACAAAUCUGGACCUCCAACGAACCAAAGACUCCAACGAUGCUCUGAUACCAAUUGUUAUGCCUUGGCCCGUUUAUCAGUGCGGAAACGAGAUUCAAAUUACAACCUCACCAUAAUCACACUCAGUUGAACAGAAUAAAAUACAAGAAAUAAAGACACCGAGAAAUUUACGAGGUUCGGCAAAAAUCCUGCCUACGUCCCCGGAGAGAUAUUGCUCUUCACUAUGAGAAUAACAGUACAAGUACACAUGAGUUAAAUCAACAUAACCCAAUCCCGAAUCCCUUGCACACCCACUCAUAGAAUUUUCCCAAGAGCCUCACUCUACCCCAAGAGUUCUUUCACUAGAGACCUUUCACUCUAGCUCUCUUGAUUUCUCUCUCACCCGUGUUCAACCCUUCCCAUGGGAGAGCCGAAUGCUCUCCCCUUUUGGAUGCUCACUCCAUCCUCACAAUCGGCAAGCUCUCUUCAUUUUGUGUGUGAAAAAUGCCUUCACUUAUAGACAUGCACCAUCAAUUAUGUCAACCACAAAACAUGCUUCCACAAAACAUGCUUCCUCAAAACAUGCUUCCACAAAACAUGCUUCCACAAAACAUGCUUCCUCAAAACAUGCUUCCACAAAACAUGCUUCCACAAAACAUGCUUCCAAAGUCCACAAAGUUGAGAGGAAAUGGUUGCCAACUCAUAAUUAUAUGAGCCAAACACAACAAAAAGGGAGGUCAUAAAGGUGUAAGUCAGAAACGCACCGCUAUUAGAAACCCUUCCAGCAUGCCAAAUCUGACAGAAGAAGACGCCACCUUUAGCAUGAACAGCAUUAACAAUGGGUUUCCAGGCUUCAACUUGCUCCUUUGUCCAUAUACCAGGUGUGUUUGGGUACCUUCGUAUAUUAAAGAACCAAAAAUUUCAUCAAACUUUGAAACGAAAGAAGCACCCUCAAAUGCUUGUUAGUCUAUGAAUCUACUGUUGUUGAAAUUACCCUUGAGCUGUGUUGGAAACUCCAGCGGCUUCAGCUAUGAGAAGACCCCCGUUCGAAGUUCUCUGAGAGUAAUAUAAGAUAGCAUGUGGUUGAGGAACAUUGUUGUAUGAUCUCUGUCUGGUCAAUGGUGCUAAAACAAUUCUGGAAAGGAAAAAGCAAUUGUAAAUUAUAAAUACAGAGUGAUCAAGACGGAAUGUGGCUGAGGAACAUUAUCGAAUGAUCUGUUUCUAGUCAUCAACGGUGAAAAUACAAUUCUAAAGAGGAAAAACAUAUAACAAACCAUAAAUACAACCUUCAGACUUUGUAGGAAGCAUUAGUUUGCUAAGGCUCUUUGAUAACAAAUUCGCUUUUAGUUUUCUUGUUUUAGUUAAAAAGGAGAAACGAGGGAGGAAGAAGGAAUUUGGGACGAAAAUGUAUGAAAUAAAAACUCGAAUUGUAGAUUAUCUGAAUUUGCUAAGGCUCCUUCAUAACAAAUUCGCUUUUAGUUUUCUUGUUUUACUUAAAAAGGAGAAACGAGGGAGGAAUAAGGAAUUUGGGACGAAAAUGUGUGAAAUAAAAACUCUAAUUGUAGACAAUCUGAAUUUGCUUUAUGUUCUUCAUUUUCGGUAUCAUUCCAUGAACAUUUGGUCCCUCAUCCAUCCCUUCCCCUUCCCCUUCCUCCUCCUCCUCCUCUUCUAUCAUGCAUUUUCUCUUUUACUUAAAAUUAAAAACUAAAAAUCAAAUACGAAAUCGUUACCAAACACAACCUAAACAAAGCAAUGUCUUACGAAGUGACCAUGGCCGAAAGGGCACAUACUUUUAACAAUCUAUUGCAUCUAUUUUCAACAAUUAAUCAAUGAAAUAACUCAAGUGUACUGUUGUUUUGAUUUAAUUUGUAACAUCUGUACUAUUUUAUAGACAAAGAUACAGUUACUCUUUUUUUUUUUUUAGGUAAACUAGAAUUACACCAGGGCAAAGCCAGAGUACAACAGGAAAGCCCACACAGAGGACUAACAUAGCUAAAACCAUUGAGACGACAAACAACAAAAUGAUCCAGGGCCAAGGACCAACACUAGUCCCGACAUUAUGUCACCCUUAAUCAUUCCAACAUAGACUCAACUUAGUGUGGGCAAGGUAGACCAUCCUUGUUCAACUUCUUGUCUCCUUCCCAACAUCUGUACUAUUUUAUACCAACAUGAUUCUCUCUGGAUUCUUUUGGUGAGAAUCUUGUCCGUUCAUCGUACAUCGUGCGAUCAGUUUUUGUCAAAUAAUUUUGUGUUUAAUUUUAAAUAAAAAUAUUUAAAAUAAUUUUUUACUGCACGAUAUACGAUGAACGGACAAAAUAACGGAUUUUCAGGAUUCUCACAAAGAGAAUUCGACGAGUAUCCGGAUUCUAUUUUAUAGACAAAGAUACAGUUACAAACACUCCUUGUCUCCUUCCCCAAAUCAUUCUUCGUUUUUGUAAAAUAGGAACAAUGUAUGAAAGUUUUAAUUACCUAUGAGAAAGAUUGAAGUUUCCAAUUUGUAGGGAGUGAGGAGAGGAACUGUGGGAGGUUGAGCAGCAGCAGACAUCUCAGAAUUCGAGUCGGUCGUCUACCACCUGAUCUUGCACUUGGCCUUUUAUACUGGAUUCUGGGAUGAAGGAAGGAAGGAAUGAAUGAAAACAGGACCCAAUUGGGUCUUUAUACGUUCGGUAGGAGCUUAAAAGUCCGCCCUGCAGCUUUCCUCCACAAAAGUCAGAGAAGGCCGGGUCCCACAUCUCCCCUCCCUUGUGUGGUGGUGGCGGCGGCGGACGUCGGUGGGUGGACGAUGGAUCUCUCCAAAGCAUUAAUUAAACCGAUUAGGUGAAGACAGGUAGGAAGGUUUGAUGAGGUCUGUAAUUACGUUUACGUGGGUUGAAAAUUCACCAGUUUUAUGAGGUCUGUAAUUACGUUUGCGUGGGUUGAAAGUUCACCAGUUUUCCCCAUGAAAAAGGACGUCUACGCACGUUCAUUUCGAUUUUGCUUUUUCAUCCUGCAUUAUUAGGCCAUGGUUAGAAAAAUAUAUUAUUUAGGUCCUUAAGGCCACCUCCAAUCAGAAGGGUUAAAACAUAAUCUCAUAUAGAAUUAUAAUUUUGUAAAAAAAUUAAUUUUAAAUUAAUAGUGUCAGAUCAUAUUCAUAUACUAUCUAUAACCAAAUGAGCUAAACAUAGCCUCAUCAAUUUCCGAUGGAUAGCUAGACUAAAAUUCUAUGGAGCUCAUCAAGCCAUCAUUUGGCUAAAGGGGCAUUGGGUUGGCCAAAUGUAGCCCCCCUUCUUAGCCCUUUUUGGAGCUCAGCUCCUCUACUGCACUAUUUGAGUCAAAUUCAACAACUAUGUUUGAAAACAUUUAAUGGAAGUUUAAUUAAAUUAAUCGAUAAAUUUAAUAUAUAAACUUAAAACUAAGUAAUUAUUGAGAAGGUUAUGUUUAGCCACUUCAGUGACGGUAUAUAAGUAUGACGCGAUAUUGUUCAGUCAUUUCGGUUGAAGAUGGCCUAAGGUAAGAAUUUUGAGGAUAUGUGAGACUAAUGUAUGUUAGUUACAAAAUUAUGUUUGUAUAGAUCACUUGAAAUAUUUGACAACUUAAUAAAGAAAAACCAACUUAAAAUCCAUGAACCAUUAGAAAACUCAUUUUCUUUUUUGGUUUUAUUAAGUUGUCAAAUAUUUAAGCUUUUGAAUACAAACUAAUAUAAUCUUGUGGCUAAUAUACAUUUGGUCCUCACAAAUCUUUAAAAUGAAGACCUUACUUGAUCAAUGAAUUUAUGACAAAUUAAAUAGUCUAAAAAUAAAAGGCUCGAAUUAGGGCUAGGUUCGGUUCAAAUCGGUUCAAUUUUUUUUUUCGGUUUUGGUUUUUUUUUGGUUCCGGUUCGGUUUUUUCCGUGAUUUUUUUAAAUCUUUUUUAUUUUUGUCAAAAAUAUAAAGAAGAGUAAUUUUACUUUUUGUUUCCGAUGAACUAAGAAAUUAAAGAAGGAACUUGAAUUAAAACUAGGGCAACUCGCAAUGAUGGCUGCAUCAAACAAAUCAUCCAUAUCUACAAUAUGAACAGAAACCUUUGUAAAUCAUAAAGUCCUUAAUGCUAAAUCCUUUAAGAACCAAGACUUGAAAACCCUAAAUCUGCAAUACAAACCCACAAGUAAGAAACAAACCCACAACACAAAAAUCGAACAAAUCUGCAAUACAAACCAAACUCCCUCCAUGGCGCCAUGUCACUGCCUCCGUUUUCCGGCCAAACCAAGGCGAUUUAGCCCAAAAAAAAGGUACAUCUUCGUCUCAUCUAGAAGUAUGAUUUUUGUUUUUGAAUCACUUGAUUUCGUUGAGUAUUCAAGAAGUUAUGAACGUUUAAAGUUUACCCAGUUUCUGGCGAGUUUCCAAGUUUUCCCUCGUACCAAUCAACUUUGAGGCUAUUUUCCCGCCAUCUCCAGCAACCAUUGGGCUUCCAAAUAGGUUUAAUCUUAUUAUAUAUUUUCCUAUCUUCAUUUUGAUAUUUUAUGGGUCGAAUUUGGUUAAGAAACGAUUAAGUUACAAAGCUUUGAAAAUUGCCCAAGAACUCCGGGACACUUAACGGAGUUUUUAACGGAAGGACCAAAAUGAUGGAUGGUGGACAAUCUCAAGGACCACUUUUAUCGAUUUGAAAUGUUAGGGACCAAAGUGAAGAGUUAUGCAAAUCUCAGGGACUAUUUUGACUAUUUAGCCUUUUUUUUUCCUAAACGAAAAAUAUUUUUUUUAAAUGAAGAUAGAAAAGUGUAGAAUAAGAUUAUACCUAUUUGGAAGCCCCAAUGGCUGCCGGAGAUAGCCGGAAAAUAGCCUCAAAGUUGACUGGUCUGAGGGAAAAUUGGAAAACUCGCCGGAAACUGGGUAAACUUUAAACGUUCAUAACUUCUUUAAUACUAAACUAAAUCAAGUGAUUCAAAAACAAAAAUCAUACUUCUCGAUGAGACGAAGAGAAUGGUACCUUUUUAGACAGUUUAAAUUGCGGUGGUUUGGCCAUAAAAGGCUAAAUAGUGUCUAACUCGAGACUAAGACAGCAUUUAUAGAACCGUUUUCUGCCAAACCACAGUGAAUUUACCCUUCAAAUAGGUACCAUUCUCUUAUUAUCGUCGAGAAGUAUGAUUUAGUUUUGAAUAACUUGAUUCGUUUAGUAUUGAAGAAGUUAUGAAUUUAAAGUUACUCAGUUUCUGGUGAGUUUUCCAGUUUUCCUUCGGACCAGUCAACUUGAGGCUAUUUUCCGGGCUAUCUCGGCAGCCAUUGGGCUCAAUAGGUAUAAUCUUAUUCUACACUUCUAUCCAAUUAUUAAGGCUAAAUAGUCAAAGCUUUGGAAAACCCACACAGAAAAAGUUCGCAACACUAACUUAACCAAAUUCGCCAAUAUCAAAGCCCCUGGAAGGGAGCCUCCCUCCAUGGUGGAAUGUCACUGCCUCCUUUUACCGAUUUGCGAAGCCCAAAAAGGGAGUUAUGCAAAUAGAAGAGAUUUUGUUUUUUUUCUUUUUUUUUCCCUAAACGAAAAUAAUUUUUUUUAGGUUUUACCCAAUAAGAUGGGAAGCCCUGGCUGCCGCGAAUAGACGAAAAUAGCCUUCAAAGUUGACUGGUCUGAUGGGGAAAAUUGGAAAACUUGACUACUGGGUUAAACUUUUAAACGUUUCAUAAGAUUAAUAAUAAAACUAAUUUUGGUGAUUCAAAACAAAAAUCAGGGACUUCUCAUGAGACGAAUAUAAAGAAUUGGUCACCCUUUUUAGACAGUUAAAAUUGCCCAUAAAGGCUAAUAAGUGUUCUAACUCGAGACUAAGACAGCCAUUUUAGAACCGUUUUGGGCCAAACCACAGUGAUAGCCUUCAAAAUAGGUACCAUUCUCUUAUUAUCGUCGAGAAGUAUGAUUUAGUUUUGAUAAACUUGAUUUCGUGAGUAUUGAGAAGUUAUGAACAUUUUAAAGUUACUCAGUUUCUGGUGAGUUUUCAGUUUUCCUUCGGACCAGUCAACUUUGAGCUAUUUUUCGGGCUAUCCCGGCAGCAUUGGGCUUCCAAAUAGGUAUAAUUCUUAUUCUACACUUUCCUAUCUUCAUUUGUUUAUUAAUUUGGUUUAAGAAAAGAGUUAUGUUAUGAAGCUUCUAAAGAACUCCGGGUCCAAAAACUUCUAAAGGCCAAACUCCGGGACACUUCUCAGGGAGUUUUUCGAUUUGAAAAGACCGACCAAAUCUUAAGGACAUUUUUGGCUAUUUAGCCAAUCUUAAUGUACUCCCCAAAUAUGAAUGCAAGUUAGGACCAAGAAGUUGGGUUUUUAGCCAAAAAUUACAAACUUUAAAUGAUUAAUAGAACCAAAGUCAAUACUAAUUAUAGCCAUAGAAGUAUUGGGUUGACCGUUUAGAAACGUGAGAUUUCAAAAGGAUGUUACUAAUAAUAUGGUAAUUGUGGUGAUUGAAAUAUUUACUGCAAAUUCACCUUUUCAAGAUUCUGAUUCUCUUGAUUUAAAAAAUUGAUAUCCACUUCCUGAAAAAUCUUUACAAAACUUGUCUUCUGGUUGAGCUUCAAAUGCCCGUAUGCUAUUCUUUUGAUUGUAUAUUACAAAAGAUGUUAAACAUGAAACUUCAAAAGGGGAUUUAAUCCAUUCUAUAUUUGAAAAUUUCCUAAAAUGGAUGUUAAAACUGAAAUUCAAAUGUUUUUAUCCAUUUCUGUCCUUACUUCCAAAAUGACUGGGAUCGUGACCGAUAAUUUUACAAUUCCAAUCCCCUUUGAAUUUUAAGAGUUAUGCUAUUACUUUAGUCUAACUAGGGUUAUGUGGCAUUAUGCAAUUUUGGACAUUUCAGUUCUACUUACGAUAAUUCAUUGAGUUUUCUGUUUCCUUCAUUUAAUUUAUUUGCAAAUUUGCCAUUGGGCUUAGAAAGGUUUUUGUCUUUACGGUUAUUUCCGUUCAUUGGAAUUUUUUCGAUUAUUCGAUCCACGCGUUGAUCAUCGCUGGAUCGCCGGCUGUGUGGGAUCUGGUGAGGGGAUGGGUUACGUGUCCAUCAUUGUCGAAAGGUUUGCUUCGACUGCAACCUCUCGACUUUUCGUUUCGUUUCAACUUCUAUCUCACAAGCCUCUGCUUCAGUCGCUCUUGAUCUUCGCCUUUUCUAAGGCGUUCGAGGGACAAAAACCGAAAGCCAAACCUCCACCACAAACGAAGUCACAAAUAGGGAUGGGCAACGGCGGACGGGUAACCGCGGUUAUUUACCCAUAACCAUUUAUACUUAUACCCGCAUAAUUGUUUACCCAUUGGGUAAUUGCCCAAGCAGUUAUACUCAUACUCAUAACCAUUUAUAAACGGUUAACCAUAUCCAUAACAGCAUACCCAUUUAACCAUAAUCGUUUAAUACCAGUUUACUCAUUUACUCUUUUUAACCCGUUUAUUUUUUAUUUAUUUUUUACCAUUACCUCUUUUUUCACCCUUAUACAUGGUUUUUAACAACUUGAAAAUUAAAAAAAAAAUGUCAUAAUUUUUUUUGGCAAUUAAACACCGUUAUAAGCACAUUCAUCAUACAUUUCUGUAUUUUAAUUUUUUAAAUCCUUAUCUCAUUCCAAUAAUUGAAAUAAUUUCCGGCAAAGACACAACGGCGUGCACUCGUACGUGGGUUAUUUAUAUGCUCAGCAAGCACCCUUAUAUGCAAGAAAAGGUUGUAACAGAAGUUUGAGAAGCAGCAAAUCUGAAAGAUGACUCAAGCAUUGUUGAACUUGCAGACAAUCUUAAUGAAGAUGCCCUUAAUAAAAUGCAGUAUGUCUUAGUAGCUUUGACUGAGACACAGAGGCUCUACCCUGUAAUUCCACCGUAAAUUUGACUAACAUCUUAACUAAAUCUAAUGCAUGCAUACCGCAAGGGAAAUGAUUUCAGUGCGCUCCCGUUUAGUUUUCUCACUUAAAUUUCUUUUGAUUUAUUCAAUUUAAGAAUAGAAAUACUCCAUGGAUCAUCGUUGAUUACUUUUUAAUUAAUUAAAACACUACUAUAUAAACCACAUUAUAGUCAAUAGUAUUGAUCUAAGUUUUGUCUGAUAGAGAACAUGAUUUGUAUUAAUUUUACAUAUAUAAAAUAAAUAGGUAAACAGUUAUUCGUUUAUAAUCGUGAUUAAUACUCAUAACCAACCAUUUAAAUUUUACAGAUGAACGAUUAUACCUAUAACCAUUUAUUUAUUUAAACAGUUACCCAAAUGAGCAUGUAACCGCGGGCCAUCCCUAGUCACGAACGCCACUCUCACUCACCCUCCACCGUUACACACGAACCCAAUCAUAAUUCUGAAAUCCAAACACAACCCAGAUGUUAAUCCUUCAGAGAAUGGCAAUGGCCACUUCUUCUUCCUUCCUCUUAAUCCCUCUCCUCAAUAAUCUUCUUUGCUUUCCCCAGUUAAACACCAAGCUCCGAGUUCAGGUCUCUGUCCUUCUACGGCGGUAGAACUGGAGUCUCCACCUCCUCGGCGAUGGCCACGGAGGCUCAGGUCUCGACCCAAGACGACAAAUUGAAGGAUGCCCAGAUGGAGGUAGCUGAUAAGCCUGAGACAGUCGUGCUUCCAACCAACGAGUCCUCCGAAAGCCUCAUCAUAAUUCGACACACGGUAUUUAUUGAAAUUUCAUUGCUUUGGAUUGGAUUUAUGAUUGUUUUAUGUUAAAUUGAAGUAGGGUGCUUUCCUGUUGAAUUUUUUGAAUUUUUAGAUUCUUAGGAGCUUCCCUUUUUGAAAGUUUGAUGCUUUUAAUUAACUAUUUUCAAUUCUGCGUUACUAAUGGUCACCUGAUUCUAUUGUGAAGAAUGAGAAAGUGAGGAUGAAGAAAAUAAGAACCUAACUUUUCGGUAAUUUGAAAUUUGAUCGCAUAGGACAUGGAAAAAUGGGUGUACAGCGGUAGAUAAGUUGGGAAAAAUUUCAUCCUGUUUUUGGGAAUGUGAGAAGAUACAUGGGUUUCUGUAUUUUGAUAAAGUGUUGAGGUCGAGCCAUGUUCAUUUUUUUCUGAAUUUUCUUGUAGUUUGGUAUUAAUGGCGCCUUUUCCGCUGUUAUGGUGAUGAACCAUUUAUAUGUGUUUGACUGCAGUGUGCACACGUGAUGGCCAUGGCUGUUCAAAAGCUCUUCCCGGAUGCAAAAGUGACAAUUGGUCCAUGGAUAGAAAAUGGGUUCUAUUAUGAUUUUGAUAUGGAGCCUUUGACGGACAAAGAGUUGAAGAGAAUCAAGAAGGAGAUGGUAAGUGGAAUUUCUGUAUAAGUUAUCAUGUUUGUAUCAAAGUUUUGGAACCAUGAAACUAUUGAAAACUAUUCAUGCACAUUUCUUUUGUGAUUUGUAGGAUAGCAUCAUUGGUAGAAACUUACUAUUAGUAAAGAGUCCUCCACGUCUAUACCCUUGUCAUAAUCUCCAUAAUUAUCUUAUGUAUAUUAUCACGUUAUCUUAGAGAUUUGUAAUCCCGUUAGGAUUUGUAUUGGGAGCUACACAAUCCCUUUAGGACUCUUUGUAAACUGGUAUAUUUAUACCUGAUUAUGAGCAAUGGAAAGUUAAGUCUUCCACCAAUAUUACUGCUUCGUGUUUACUGUGCUCUUUCUCUGAAUAUAUAUAUUUCUACAUGGUAUCAUCCCUUUCUCCGGCUUAACCACCCUUCUCGAUCCGCUUCCCAUCAUGUCCUCUACCUCCCCACUUCCUGGCCCUGCUAUUGCCCAGUUUCUCAAACUCAAUGACUCCAAUUACCUCACAUGGCUUCGUCAGAUCAAGCCCUUUCUUGUUGGUCAUGAUCUGUGGAAGGUCGUUAAUGGCUUCUACCCACCCCCUCCGGCCACCUUCACCGUCACUGCCACCCCUUCCUCUGCCGCUACUAACUCCGACAGUUCUUUCGUGACUACUACCUUUACUCUUCCCAACCCCACUUUCGCUCAUUUGUACCAACACGAUCAGUUGGUCGUAAGCUACAUAGCCGCCACCUUAACAGAACCUGUCCUUGCUCUCACUGUGGGCCAUGACUCCGCCCAAGCCGUUUGGGCAUGUCUUCAACGGCGCUUCGCCUACGACCCUGUCCUCAACUCCGUCGCCUUGCGUUACCAACUGCUUGAUAUUUCCAACAGAUCUUGCUCUAUUGCUGACUAUCUUCAACAUGCUAAAUCUCUUGCUGACAAACUCGCUACUAUCGGCCGUCCUGUUGAUCUUGAAGACUUCAUCACCGUUGUUCUCCGUGGUCUUGGAUCUGACUACCUUACCCUUACCACUGCUAUCAUCAACGUCACCAUUCUUCUAACCUUUGAGGAGUUGACCUCCAAGAUUGAAGCUUUUGAUCUCCAGAACCUUCGCACCUCCACCACGUCUGCCGCUUUGUAAAUUGCCCUCAUCACUACCCACCAACCCCGUGCUUCUUCUCAGUCCUCAGGCAGUCACGAUGGAAAUUAGAACGGUCGUUUCCAACGGAACAAUGGUCCGCAGUGUAAUACCUCCGGCUGGCAUCCUAGCAAGAAUACCAAUUCCCGCAACCAACAACAACAAUGGAAUGGGCCUCCUCCAUUCAAUUAUCAACAACCUUGGCAUGGACCCUCUGCUCCCAUUUAUUGGCCAGGCCCACGUGGUUUUUCUGGGCCAGGCCCACUUGUUCCACCUCGCAACAUAGUGCUACACACUGUCCACACCGCUAUGGCGGCCCCGAACCUUUCCCCCCCUUUGAGGGCUCUCAGGUGAUUUCUUAUUAGGAUCCCAACAUUUGGUUUCCCGAUACUGGCGCUACCUACCACAUGACGGGCGAUCCCAAUGCCCUCCCCCACCCACAACCUUAUCGUGGUCCUAAUUCCGUUCAAUUGGGUAAUGGUGAUUCUCUAAACAUUACAUCCACUGGUACAAUUCCUAUCUCUCUUAACUCUAUUCCGUUUAGUCUUUGUAAUGUCUUUCUUGUUUCGGCCUUACGUAAAAACCUCUUGUCUGUUACAUACUUUACACAUGAUAACAAUGUCGUUAUUUGUUUCUUUCCAUCCUUUUAUCGUAUCUAUGAUUUACACUCUGGUGUUUUAUUGUUUCAAGUCCCAUGUAGAGAUGGCCUUUAUCCAUUAUCCUUCUCCUCACCACAGGCCCUUGCCGCUUCAUCCUUUACCCUUUGGCAUCAACGUCUCGGUCACCCUUCAUCUUCGGUUUUGUCCCGUCUUAGCUCUAGUUUCGGUUCUACGUCAUUUUCUUCAAAGCAUUUUUGUAAAAGUUGUGCUUUAGGCAAGUCCACACAACUUCCUUUUUCAAUUAAAUAAUGCAAGGGCUACUACUCCAUUUUAUAUUAUACAUUCUGAUGUUUGGAUGUCCACUUCUACCUCUGUUUCUGGCUUUCGUUAUUACGUAUUAUUCACUGACGAUUAUUCUUGUUAUUCUUGGAUUUACCCCAUGAAAAAGAAGUAUGAGGUCUUUACACAUUUUCAAACCUUUGUUGCAAUGACUCAUAACCUAUUUAACGCAUUUAUUUAAUAUUUUCAAAGUGAUGGCGGCACCGAAUAUGUUAAUCACUCAUUUUCUGCAUUUUGUCGUCAAUUAGGUAUCCAACACCGUCUUUCGUAUCCACACACACCCCAACAAAAUGGACUUGCUGAACGUAAGCACCGUCAUAUUGCUGAUAUGACUCGCACACUGCUUACUACAGCUCAUACCCCACUCACCUUGUGGGUGGAAGCUACGCUUGAUGCGAAAAUUAACUUAACACACAAAUUAAACCCUCUUGUUGUCAAUUGUAGUAAAGAAUGUAAGUAGGGAUCGUUCUAGGCCGGAGAUUAGAAGGGAUUGCUAAAACACUUGAAACUGACUUAAAUAUGUGAAAACAAACUUAAAAGCAUGAAAUUAAACUUACAAGACUCAAAACAAAGCCACAAGACUCAAAACAGAUUAUAGAGACUCAAAACUGCCUAAAAACAACUCUAAGGCAGUUUCUGCCACUAACACAAAGUUUGGACGAAAAUUGAUUUUAUUUUAACUUAAAACACUUAAAAACACAAUCUAAAACAAGUACUGACUAAUAGACACUCUAAAGUAAAGGGGGAUUUGGUUUUGGAUGAAUUUAAGUAAAAACAAGUAAUUAAAGACUUAAAACAGAUUUUGGACGAAUUUGGUGAUUGGAAUGGAUGAUGGGCUAGCUAGAAGGUCUUUCUCCACACAUGACACACUUGCAUAUAAAACGAUUUCCAGUUGCUUUUCAAUAAACCAUGAACCUCAACACCCCAGAUUAAUUAGGUACGCUUAAAUUAAUCCUCAGAUUUUCCUAAUUUCAUUGAAUUGGAUGAUUGCAUACAACAACCCAAAGCAUUCCCCACAAGUUCCCUACAUGAAUUGCAUAAUAGAGAUACAAGUAAGAAUCAUUAAGUUCUAGGAAAAUCAUAAGCAUUGACGAAACACUUGUAACUAUGAAUUGCAUGAAACUUAUGCCAAGAAUUUACUUAACACGGUUGUGACGAACAACCUUUAGUACUUGUAAAUAUAAGUUCAUAACGAUUAGGUGAAACUCCCUUAAUCCUAGCAUCAUAUUUAUGCAUGAAAAUUAAGCGUGCACUCUCAACCAACAUACACAAAUCAGUUUUAAUUCAAAUGGAUAAGUAAAUUGAAUUCACAACUUAUGAAUCACAACUGAAAGUAACCAAAUCAUAUUGCAAGCAUGAACAUGGUUUCGAAUUCCCCCCUAGCUAAGGAGGUUUAGUUUCUCAUACUUACAAAGUAAAGAUAAACAAAUUUAGACAUUGAGAACAAAAGAAAGAAAACACCUAAAAACGCUCCAACAAUCCAACUUGAAUGGCAAGCACGUCGAAGGGUCUUCCUUCUUCUCUUUGUUGCAGCACAAGGUGUGGUUUGAUGGAUGAGUGGUAAAUUAUAGUAGUGGAUGGAUAUGCACGGCUGAGAGAUGAAAGUGUAUGGAUUGGUGAGAUGUAGUAUGGCUAAAUGAAUGGAUGGAGGUCACGACAAGGAAAUUGUGUUUGCGAAUGAAGUUGUGAGAUGUGAAAUGUAGUGUCUUUGUAUGAUGGCCCCCAAAUUAUGGUGAAGGGUGGAUGUAUUUAUAGGCUAGGGAGAGGAGUGUAUGGAGUUGUAAUGAGUGGAUGUAAUGGGUGUAGUGGGUGAGUGUUGUGAUAAUGAGUCGAUGUAAUGGGUGUAGUGGGUGGAUGUUUGGUAAUGAGUAGAUGUAAUGGGUGUAGUGGAUGAGUUUUUAGUAAUGAGUAGUGUUUGGUAAUGAGUGAAUGUAAUGGGUGUAGUUGAUGAGUGUUUGGUAAUGAGUGGAUGUAAUGGGUGUAAUGGGUGAGUGUUGUGGUAAUGAAUGGAUGUAAUGGGUGUAGUGGGUAGAUGUUUGGUAAUGAGUGGAUGUAAUGGGUGUAGUGGAUAAGUGUUUGGUAAUGAGUGGAUGUAAUGAGUGUAGUGGGUGGAUGUUUAGUAAUGAGUGGAUGUAAUGGGUGUAGUGGAUGAGUGUUUGGUAAUGAGUGGAUGUAAUGGGUGUAGUGGAUGGAUGUUUGGAGUUGUAGGUCAACACACUUGCACACACACAUGCUGAUUUCUAGCCUUCAAAUCUUCAAAAAUGUCCAUCCUCAUGUCCUCAUGCUUGCACUAUCCAAUCUUGGCUAAAAAAUGCUCUAAAAUGCUCCAAAAUGCACUUUCUUGCCAACUUUGUUAUUAUGACCUACAAACACAUGAAAAUAGCUUAAAAUUCAUAAUUAACUAAGAAAUAACAACACAAAUGCACAAGAACAAGCUAACUAAGUCGCAUAAAUAUGCUCCUAUCAGCGCUCACUUCUGUCCACCUCAUCAAUCUUCUCCCCACCUCUACCCUCAAUUGGUCAACUCCCUAUACACUUCUAUUUGGUUAGACACCCACUUACUCUCACCUACGUACCUUUGGAUGUAUGUGCUUUCCAUACCUUCGGGAUUAUGUUCACGAUAAACUAAGCCACGUUCUAUUGAGUGUGUUUUUGUGGGUUACAGUGCCUCUCAUAAAGGUUACAGGUGCCUUGAUCAGACCACUGGACGUAUUUAUAUCUCUCACCAUGUGGUGUUCAAUGAGGCUACUUUUCCUUUUGCAACCUCUCUCGGCCAGCCACCAACCACAUAUGUGGAGCUGGAAAUUCAUCCUACUGCCAUCCCACAAUUUGCUUGCUCAUUGCCCAUCCCUACCUCUCUUGGUCUCGUGGGCUCCUCCUCUAAUGAUGGCCAGUCAAUGCCACAUGACAAUGACCUACCUACUUCUGCUGCUUCUCCACCGCAGCCUGCCGCUACCCAGUCACGGUCACCACCACUUAUGCUUCCAUCUCAUCCCAUGGUCACCCGAACUAAAGACGGCACGCGUAAACCCAAGUCCUGGACUGAUGGCUCUAUCCGGUAUCCUCUCCAUCAUGCUCUUUCAGUUUUGCUUACCACUGACGAACCCACAUGCUUUACACAGGCUGUUCGCAAACCCGAAUGGCGGGCUGCCAUGACCGAGGAAAUUAAUGCCCUUUUUUUAAAUAAUACUUGGGUUCUUGUUCCGCCAUCACCCACCCAAAACAAAGUCGGCUGCAAGUGGGUUUAUCGCAUAAAAUGGAAAUCUGAUGGAAGCAUCGAUAGAUACAAAGCACGUCUGGUGGCAAAGAGCUUUCACCAACAACCAGGAAUUGACUACGAUGAAACUUUCAGCCCUGUGGUCAAACUUGCAACUAUACGUACAGUUCUCAGCCUUGCUAUUUCAAAUCAUUGGUCCGUUCGUCAGCUCGACGUGAAAAAUGCUUUUCUGCAUGGUCAUUUGAAGGAGGAAGUCUACAUGUCACAACCCCCUGGUUUUGUUGAUCCCCAACAUCCCAAUCAUGUUUGUUGUCUCACCAAGGCACUUUAUGGUCUUAAGCAGGCUCCUCGGGCCUAGUUUCACCGCUUUAGCUCAGUCAUCAAGAGAUGAAGCUCCCAAAAGAAUAACCGCUCUCAGUGAACCAUACAAAUUGGAAAUUUUGGAUAGUAUUAAAGAAGAUCCCAUUACCAUAUAUCAUAUUGGUAAGGGUUUCACUAUUUUCAAGCUCAAUAUAGUGUAUGGAAGGUGAUGAUUUAAUGUGUAGGAACUGUGCGUAAAUGAUAUUUUUAUUAGCUACACAAGUGAAAUGUACAGUGUUUGUGUUGAGUCUUAAGAUGGAAAUUUAAAGGAAUAAAAAAGAGAGGGCGGGGUGUGCUCAGGGAAAACAAUGUUGUUGGUGCUCUUUAAAAAUGAGUUAUUGAUAUGCAGAUUGAAAAUAAGACUAAUUUGGAGGUGGGAGGAACCUUUUGGUCAAGCUAACCAAAUUAUACUUAUGUUUAUACAUAUGCAUGCUUGUACUAGGAUUUGAUUGUGUUUUGAACUAGCAUCCUGUCAUAUUAGACUGUCUUGAUGUCAUAAUUCCUCAUAGUAUGCCGAAUUCUUCAUAGGUGAUGAAUGGUGGAACCUAUGUGCGGGGCCCCAUGUUGAAAAAAUUGGGAAUAUUAACAGAAAACUUGUCGAACUUGAGUCUAUGUUGGUGCCUACUGGAGAGGACAUGAAAUGAAACCAAUGCUGCAGUGGAUCUAUGACACUGCAUGGGAGAGUGAAGAUCAAUUGAAGGCAUAACUUCAAUUGAAAGAGGAAGCUAAACGUAGAGAUCACAGGCGCCUUGGUCAAGUCAAAUCAAAGAUGAAAUUAAGGGUGUCAUAGAUCUUACAGAAGAACUUUCGUUGCAAUUCGGCUUCAGCAAAUAUGAGGUCAAUCUCUUUACAAGGCUAGAGAAAGCUGUUGGAGAUGAUAUAUGGGUGAAAGCAACAUAUGCCCUUAAAGAUGCUUUGGAUGAUAAAGGCUGGAGCUAUCAAAUUGAUGAAGGCGAUGGUGCCUUUUAUGGUCCAAAAAUUGAUCUUAAGAUUAAGGAUGCCCUUGGAAGGAAGUGGCAGUGCUCAACUAUGUAGGUUAAUCCAGUGCUCAACUAUGCAGGUUAAUCCUGAACUCAUGACGGGAUAAUUCUAAGGAAAACUAAUGAAAAGGGUUUGAAAACUUUGAGUUUUAACGAUAAAGACAAAAUAAAGGGUAAAGUAAAUAGUACCAAGUUUGACUUUUUAGUAUAAAAAUGUGGUUUUUCAUUAAAAUGAACAGUACCACAGACUUUUCGUUAAAAUUCCCAUAAUUCUAAUAUAUGCUUUGUUUUUUAAUUGGUAAUCUCUCAGUCUAUCUCUGUAUCACUUUGUAAAAUGUUCAUUGGAGAUUUGAGCAUCUUUUUUGAAUUGAGCGAAUUACAUGGAUUUGUUUGAUAGACUAAAGCCACUUAUUACUGUUAUUUUAAAUUUUUGAUCUUUUGUAUUUCCCAAAUUGUACAGGUUUGUAAAGCAGUUGCACGUUUAAUGUUUCAAUUAACUCAAGAACCCUCAACACACCUGCACGACGGUUACCUAGGCUACGACCCCUGGCUUUCCUCCCAGCGAUUCGACUCCGAGUCCCUCAAGGACCUCGCCAUGGAUUCCCCAAUCUUCCACGGCUCCGCCGUAGAUGACGCUUUCGCCACUCAGCCGGCGUCGGAGGCCUUCUCUCCUCCGUCGAUCUACGCCGAAUCGAACGGCCAGGGCUUUGAUGGAGGGUUUGGCAGGUCCGUGUUAGAUACCAAUUCCAGCCACUAGUUCAUCCUUAACUGGAAGCAAGAAUUGUAGGAAAUGGCGAGAGGGAAAAGAUGGAGUAUUUUUUGCAAAAUGAUUUUUUAUAUUUGAUUUCAUCUAUCCCCGUUCAACAAGAAAGGGAGAGCUUUAAUAGCACUAGCAACCUCCCCAAUGAAAGAUUGUGACAUGGCAUACAUAGCCUAAACUCUUAAACAACAGCACAAAGGAAAGGCAAAUUACACAACGACCCUAAAACAUUACAUUUCGACCCAAAACUUUGUUGCUUGUGAUCAAGGCAAUCACAGUACAUAACAAUGCUUCGUCUUUGAAAAAUAACCUUGUCCACAAGGUUUACACUGGAAAAUCGGGGUGUCGGGUCUUAAAUGCAUCGAAAUCUUCCCAUGAAGCUUUAGCUGCUUCCUGUCCAUUCCAUUGCACUAAUAGCUGCACCAUAGUUGCAUUUCCCUUCUUAUACAUCCUCCUAGCCAAGAUUGCCUGUGGUAAGUUCUGCAUCAACCCAUCAUCUGCAGCAAUGGGCAGAUUCACAUGUGAAACUACUUUUUCCCCCAAUUGCUUUUUGAGGCAGCUUACAUGGAACACAGGAUGUAUCUUUGAUCCUUCAGGUAAUUUUAGUUUAUAAGCCACCAUACCAAUAUUUUCCAACACUUCAUAAGGACCAUAGAACCUAGGCUGCAGUUUAUGGUAACUGUGCUGCCAAUGCUUGCAACUGAUAAGGAACUAGCUUCAAGUAUACCUUAUCCCCCACAUUGAAAUGCCUUUUAGUUCUUCUUUUAUCAACUUGAACUUUCAUCUUGUUUUGUGCUAAUUCCAAAUUGUGUUUGAGAACAGUAAGCAUGUUAUCCCUUUCGAGAAGACUUUGUGCCACAUAGUCCAUUUUUGCAGUUCCCACUUCAUAUGGAGCUAUAUGAGGUGGAGCAUGACCAUACACCAAUUCAAAAGGUGUAAAACCUGCAGAGGUGUGAUGUGAUGUAUUGAAGCACCACUCAGCCCAUGGCAACCAAUUCACCCAUUUUUUAGGCUGCCCUCCAAUAAAACAUCUUAAGUAGGUCUCCAAACACCUAUUCAUAACCUCAGUUUGUCCAUCACUCUAGGGGUGAUAACCUGAACUCAUGCACAGUUUUGAGCCUUGCAACUUAAAAAACUCCCUCCAAAAUGCACUGAUAAACAUAGGAUCUCUAUCACUCACAAUGGAACUUGGCAUACCAUGCAAUUUGAAGACAAACUCAAUGAAUAUUUGAGCCACACUCACUGCAAUAUAUGGAUGGGAAAGAGCAAUGAAAUGUGCAUACUUAGAAAGUUUGUCCACCAUCACCAUGAUCACAGUUUUGCCCCUACAAUUUGGCAAACCAAGUAUGAAAUCCAUGCUAAUGUCCGACCAAUUCUUCUGUGGAAUUGGUAGUGCUUGUAACAAUCCAGGUGGAGCUAUUGUUUCCACUUUGUUUUGUUGACAAAUGCUACAUUCAACCACAAAAUUUCAAAUAUCCUUCUUCAUUCCCUGCCAAUAGAACCUCUUUUUGAUCCUGUGAUAUGUUUUAACCACCCCUUGGUGACCUCAUCCAGAAGUAGAGUGAUACUCUUCAAUGAUUUUGUGUCUCCAAGGUGAUGUGGGACUCAAAACUACCCUCUUUUUAUAGCAUAAGAACCCAUUAUCAACAGUAUACUUGGAAACUGCAGCUUUAUCAGUAACUGUCUUAGAACUAUCAAGCACAAAUUUAAUCCUUUCCAAAACCCACUUAUCACUUUCAAAACUCCUCCUUAAAUCAUCCAUCCAGCCAAAAUAAGGGUAGAUGAUGGCAGUGAGUUCCAUGUCAAGGUGAACAGGUUUCUCUACCAACUCAGAAUUGACAUUUGGUACCUUAGAGAGUGCAUCAGCCACUGUGUUUUCAACUCCACUCCUAUACUGGAUCUCAUAAUCAAAACCCAAGAGUUUUGAAACCCAUUUUUGUUGAAAAUGAGUAUUAGCUCUCUGACUUAAGAAGUACUUGAGACUAUUGUGAUCAGUCUUAAUUAUGAAGUGUUUACCUUGCAAAUAGUUAUGCCAUUUUUUUACAGCAUGAACUAUUGCAAUCAGUUCUCUUUCAUAAGUAGAAAGAGCUUGAUUCUUAGGUCCUAAUGCCUGACUGGUGAAUGCAAUUAGUCUAAGGUUUUGCUGCAUAACUGCUCCAAUUCCAUUGUCUGAAGCAUCACAUUCCAAGACAAAGGGUUGAUUGAAAUUUGGCAAUGCCAAUACUUGUGGUGAGGACAUAAUCUUUUUGAGUUUUUUAAAUGCUUCCAAAGCUUCCACUCCUCAAUAGAAUCCAUCCUUCUUAGUGAGAUUAUACAAAGGCUGGCAUAUUUUCCCAUAUCCAGGCACAAAUUUUCUGUAGUACCCAGUGAGGCCUAGAAAUCCUCUCAAUUCCUUCACAUUCCUUGGUACAAGCCAGUCAGUGAUUGCUUGGAGUUUGCUAGGAUCUGCCAUAACACCAUCCUUUGACACAAUAUGGCCAAGGUACUCUACUUUACUUUGACCAAAGGAACAUUUAGAUUUUUUCAAAAACAACCGAUUGUCUUGCAAUAUCUGAAAAACUUGUUGUAGAUGUGUCAAGUGAUCUUCCCAAGACUUGCUAUAUAUUAAAAUGUCAUCAAAGAAUACCAGUACAAACUUCCUGAGAAGUGGUUUGAAAAGAUCAUUCAUCAAGUUCUGAAAAGUUGCAGGUGCAUUGAUAAGCCCAAAGGGUAUCACUAAAAACUCAUGAUGUCCUCUAUGGGUCCUAAAUGCAGUCUUAGCAAUGUCUUCUUUGUGCAUCAAUAUCUGGUGAUAACCUGACCUUAAGUCAAAUUUUGAGAAGAAAACAGCACCAUGUAGUUCAUCCAGCAAGUCAUCAAUUAGAGGGGUUGGAUACUUAUCCUUGAUGGUCAAAGCAUUAAGCUCCCUAUAAUCGACACACAUCUUCCAUGUACCCUCUUUCUUCUUCACUAGUAACACUGGAAAUGAGAAAGAACUAUGACUUGGUCUUAUAAACCCAGCUUCCAAAAGUUCUUGAACUGCUUUCUCAAUUUCUGUUUUCUGCAAGGGACCAUAGUGAUAGGGUCUGAUAUUUUGUGGUUUUGCUCUUAGAACCAAUGGUAUAUGAUGAUCAUGGACUAUGGAGGGUGGGGGUUUAGAUAGUAGAACAAAAAUAGACUCAAACUGUCCCAACAGAGUCUGUAAUUCCUGUAGUUGUGACUGAGUGAGAUCACUAGCUUCAAGUUUUUCCCCUUCCAUAGAGUAUAAGAACAACCCCAAGUUGGAAUUAUAAAUGUCCUUGUCAAGGUGCUGCAAAAAGACUUCCUGAAUAACUGGCAAUGUCAUAGGGCUAUGAUGCAACUUGUAUUGCUGAUUAUUUUUAACAAACUCUAUAGUCAGCAACUGGAAAUCCCAGAGCAUAGGACUAAUGGAAGAAAGCCAUUGAACCCCAAGCACAAUGUCAUAACCCCCUAAAGGUAAAGUGUAGAGAUCCACUGCACAUUUAUACCCUCCUGUAGUGAGAGAGGUUGACUUACAACACCCUGAACUCCUCACCUUCCCUCCAUCAGCUAUCAUCACCCAAAUUGCUUGGUGUGAUGAACUUGCUGCCCCCACUGCUUCAAUAGUCGAGCAUCAAUAAAAUUAUGCGUGCUACCGGAAUCCAAAAGGAUUUUCACAGGAUGACCAUUAAUAACAUCAUCCACUUUCUUUGUUUGAAUAGUUUGCCUAGCCUUAGUCCCAUAAAAUGCACAUUCACUAAGCUCCACAUGAAGAAGCUCAGGUUGUAUCCCCACAGAUUCAUCAUCAGAUAAUUCAUCAUUGACCACAUCAAGCAUCAACAAUUGUUUUAGACCACAUUUAUGUCCCGGAGUCCACUUAUCAGUACAAAACCAAGACUCCCCAUUUUCUCUCUUCUUUUGAAUCUCAACAGGGAUGAGUUUUAUAAUGGCUAAAUUUCCAACUCUAGGCACUUGGAUAUGUGGGAAUGACAGCUGAGAACUUAACUGGUGGUGUGGAUUUAGGAGGGAAAACUUUCAACUCAAAGUGUUUGGUAUCUAAUUGGAUUGCAAGAGCAAUUGCUUCAUGAACAUUUGUAGGUUUCAACAAUGACAUCAAAUUUGAGUUCACGUUUAAGGCCACCAAAAAACAACUCCUAAGCAGAAUCAGACCAAUAACAGUCGCUCUAGUAGCCAAACGACGAAAUUCAUAAUGUAUUCACGGAGAGUACCUGUUUAGCGGAGCUUGAAUAAGGACUCAGCAUUAUCCUCGAAUUUGGAAGGCCCAAACUCUUGACAAAAGGCGCGAGUGAAUUCCUCCCAACUCGGAGUAGUCUGAACACAAUCCAGCCAACGAAACCACUGUAAAACCUCACCCUCCAAAUGAAAAGAAGCAGUGAAAACACAAUGAUCGGACGAAGUGUUAUAAAAGGAGAAAUACUGUUCAGCUUUGAAAUUGCCCACUUUAAGCAGUUCGUGAGUUAUGGCUAAUUUCAUUUGUCCCACAAGUUUGUCCUCUCUCAGCUUAGGAAGCCUUCACAAAGGUUGCUUAGGAAAAGUCUCAGCAGUCGGUAGAGCCCCAGAAAGAGAAGGUACCGGAGGGGGAUCAUUCGGAGCCUCAGUACUGGACAGAACCCUAAAAGGAGGAGGCAUCGGAGGUUGAUCAUUUGGAGCUUCAUUACGCGGUACAGCCCUAGAAGACGAAGGUAAUAAAUGUCUUUGGAACAAACCCACAAACCUCUGAUGAUCAAGUAAAACCUGACCAUCAGAUUUCUUCAUCUGGUCAAGCUUCAUCUUUAUGUUUGUAGCAUGGUUAUGUGCUAGCCGGUGCAACUGUUUAUUCUCAUGCUUGAGUCCUCUAAUCUCCUGUUUGAGACUCAUCACUUCAGCCGCCAAUGAUUUAACUUGGCGGGUUCAUACAAAUAGGCGUUGGGCCAUAUUAGACACAGAACCUGCACACUGAACACUGAGAGCCAGAGAAUCCUUAACAGCCAACUCAUCACACUGUUUGAAAAGUAGUCUGUUAUCUUUGGGAGUGAGAAGGUUCUUGGCCACUACCGAAGCGGUCAUAUCAUUCUUCAUCACGGAAUCCCCAACGGUAAGAGGACCAGUAGGGGAUAAGAAGGAUGGGUGCCAUAUGUUGUCUGGAGAAGACAUGGCUGCCUCUUCAACAAGUGGUAGCUAGAUCUUCAAAAUUUAUGUGUCUAAACUUUGUUAGUGCUGUUUCUUUGCUAUUCUUUUACCCUUCUUGGUCAUAGCGAUGUAGUGGGAGUUGCAAGCUUCACGUGUCUUCCAGGCAGUCAGUUCCUGACUGGAAGCUUAAUUCCAAGUGCUGACUGAUUACUCUCUUUCUCCCUCUCUUGCAGGUAAGAACAAGGCCAAAGGAAAAGACAGGGAAAAAGCAUGAUAUGGGAUACUCUUGCUUUUAACCCUGAUAAUAUGAGAUAUUCUUACUCUGAUGUAGCUUGUUUGCAGAGGUAUUAUCGGGGGGGGGGAAAGAAAGCUGAGUAUUUCGAGAGGCUUCGUUGGGAGUGCCCUCUCAGAUAUGAGGAAGGGUUGAACAUUUUUGCAGGUCUGCCUGUCCAUUGAGGAUGAAGGUCGACAUAUAUAGGAGUCUCCCCAACAACAAGUGGUAAUGCUAUUCCUUUACCCUGCUUGGUCAUAGCACGGUAGUGGGAGAUGCCAGCUUCAAGUGUUUUAACUCUGUCAGAGCACUUUGAAAAAAUGGUAUGUGGUAUCUGGAAAGCUGAUGUCGCGUGUGAAGAUUACAGACAAGCUUUAUCCAAUGAGAUCUGACUCUCAAAGUUGAGAAAAUUGUGACUCUUCGAUUUUCGAACAAGCAAUCCUGUCGGGGAUCUGGCUCUCGAGAUUCGGAGAACGGUGCCUCUUCGAUUUUUGAGAAACCAAUCAUACUGGGAGUCUGGCUCUCGAGAUUUGGAUAGCGGUGUCUCUUCGAUUUUUGAGAAAGUAAUCAUGUUGGGAGUCUGGCUCUCGAGAUUCGGAGGGCGGUGCUUCUUCGAUUUUGGAGCAAGUAAUCUUGUUGGGAGUGUUUUCUCGAAUGUGAGUAAAGGUUGGGCAUGUUUGUUAGUCUACCUUGCCACGGAGCACAGAAGUUGACACACAGGGACUUUCCAAUUAUCCAACAGUAGUGAUGUUCCUUUACCUUUGUGGGUAAUAAUAUGGUAGCUAGACCUUCAAAAUUUAUGUGUUUAAACUUUGUUAAUGCUGUUUCUUUGCUAUUCUUUUACCCUUCUUGGUCAUAGCGAUGUAGUGGGAGCUGCAAGCUUCACGUGUCUAAACUUUGUCAGAGAUCUUUGGCAAAGUUAUUUGUGGUACCCAUGAGCUAAUGUUGCACGUGUGGAAAGUAGAUGAUUGAACAGUAAGAUUCACGUGCUUUCUACUUCACCAGUAAUCUUCGACAGAAUGCCCGUAAUUUUGGCAAAGCUGAGUGUGCAUGUGAAGGUGUUGACAAGGCUGAAAAAGCAGGUGCCUCUUCGAUUUCUGAGAACGGCCCUCGUGGUCUCUGAGCAGCCCAACUUUUGAGAAAGCAAGCGCCUCUUCGAUUUCUGAGAUCGGCUUUCGUGGUCUUUGAGCAGCCCAGCUUUUAAGAAAGCAAACGCCUCUUCGAUUUCUGAGAUUGGCCAUCGUGGUCUCUGAGCAGCCCAGCUUUUGAGAAAGCAAACGCCUCUUCGAUUUCUAAGCAGGCGCCUCUUCGAUUUCUGAAGCUCCGUCGAGUGCAGAUUUUUAUAGAGGUUGGCAUUAAGUUCCAAAGCACACUUGAAUCUCCACCAGUAGAAGCUCCCUUUUUACACUUCUAAGACCUUGAUUUGUCUGACCUCUUCUCUCUUCAACACCUUUGAAAAUGUCUGGCCCCUCCGACCGUCGUUUUGACUUGAACCUUGUUGAAGAGGCAGCCAUGUCUUCUCCAGACAACAUAUGGCACCCAUCAUUCUUAUCCCCUACUGGUCCUCUUACGUUGGGGAUUCCAUGAUGAAGAAUGAUAUGACCGCUGCGGUGGUGGCCAAGAACCUUCUCACUCCCAAAGAUAACAGACUACUUUUCAAACAGUGUGAUGAGUUGGUUGUUAAGGAUUCUCUGGCUCUUAGUGUUCAGUGUGCAGGUUCUGUGUCUAAUAUGGCCCAACGCCUAUUUGCAUAAACCCGCCAAGUUGAAUCAUUGGCGGCUGAAGUGAUGAGUCUCAAACAGAAGAUUAGAGGACUCAAGCAUGAGAAUAAACAGUUGCACCGGCUCGCACAUGACCAUGCUACAAACAUGAAGAUGAAGCUUGACCAGAUGAAGAAAUCUGAUGGUCAGGUUUUACUUGAUCAUCAGAGGUUUGUGGGUUUGUUCCAAAGACAUUUAUUACCUUCGUCUUCUAGGGCUGUACCGCGUAAUGAAGCUCCAAAUGAUUAACCUCCUAUGCCUCAUCCUUUUAGGGUUCUGUCCAGUACUGAGGCUCCGAAUGAUCCCCCUCCGGUACCUUCUCUUUCUGAGGCUCUACCGACUACUGAGAGUUUUCCUAAGCAACCUUUGUGAAGGCUUCCUAAGCUGAGAGAGGACAAACUUGUGGGACAAAUGAAAUUGGCCAUAACUCACGAACUGCUUAAAGUGGGCAAACACAAGCAAUGGUGUGCUCAUUGGAAACUUUGGUAUUUUAAAUUUUAAUCUUGUAUUUAUAGACGGAUGUAUGUGUAACUCUUUUAUUGAUCAUUUUGUGGCAUGCCACUGGAGGAAAUAUGUGGCCCCUCCAACUUUUGAGCAGCCCAGAUUUUGAGAAAGCAAACGCCUCUUUGAUUUCUAAGUAGGCGCCUCUUCGAUUUCUGAAGCUCCGUCGAGUGCAGAUUUUUAUAGAGGCUGGCAUUAAGUUCCAAAGCACACUUGAAUCUCCACCAGUAGAAGCUCCCUUCUUACACUUCUAAGAUUUUGAUUUGUCCGACCUCUUCUCUCUUCAACACCUUUGAAAAUGUCUGGCCCAUCCGACCGUCGUUUUGACUUGAACCUUGUUGAAGAGGCAGCCACGUCUUCUCCAGACAACAUAUGGCACCCAUCCUUCUUAUCCUCUACUCGUCCUCUUACUGUUGGGAAUUCUGUGAUGAAGAAUGAUAUGACCGCUGUGGUGGUGGCCAGGAACCUUCUCACUCCCAAAGAUAACAGACUACUUUUCAAACGAUGUGAUGAGUUAGCUGUUAAGGAUUCUCUGGCUCUCAGUGUUCAGUGUGCAGGUUCUGUGUCUAAUAUGGCCCAACGCCUAUUUGCAUGAACCCGCCAAGUUGAAUCAUUGGCGGCUGAAGUGAUGAGUCUCAAAUAGGAGAUUAGAGGACUCAAGCAUGAGAAUAAACAGUUGCACCGGCUCGCACAUGACCAUGCUACAAACAUGAAGAGGAAGCUUGACCAGAUGAAGGAAUCUGAUGGUCAGGUUUUACUUGAUCAUCAGAGGUUUGUGGGUUUGUUCCAAAGACAUUUAUUACCUUCGUCUUCUAGGGCUGUACCACGUAAUGAAACUCCAAAUGAUCAACCUCCGAUGCCUCCUCCUUUUAGGGUUCUGUCCAGUACUGAGGCUCCGAAUGACCCCCCUCCGGUACCUUCUCUUUCUGGGGCUCUACCGACUGCUGAGACUUUUCCUAAGCAACCUUUGUGAAGGCUUCCUAAGCUGAGAGAGGACAAACUUGUGGGACAAAUGAAAUUGGCCAUAACUCACGAACUGCUUAAAGUGGGCAAACACAAGCAAUGGUGUGCUCAUUGGAAACUUUGGUAUUUUAAAUUUUAAUCUUGUAUUUAUAGACGAAUGUAUGUGUAACUCUUUUAUUGAUCAUUUUGUAGCAUGCCACUGGAGGAAAUAUUUGGCCCCUUCAGCUUUUGAGCAGCCCAACUUUUAACAAAAGCAAACGCCUCUUCGAUUUCUAAGCAGGCGCUUCUUCGAUUUCUGAAGCUCCGUUGAGUGCAGAUUUUUAUAGAGGCUGGCAUUAAGUUCCAAAGCACACUUGAAUCUCCACCAGUAGAAGCUCCAUUCUUACACUUCUAAGAUCUUGAUUUGUCCGACCUCUUCUCUCUUCAACACCUUUGAAAAUGUCUGGCCCCUCCGACCGUCAUUUUGACUUGAACAUUGUUGAAGAGGCAGCCACGUCUUCUCCAAACAAUAUAAGGCACCCAUCCUUCUUAUCCCCUACUAGUCCUCUUACCGUGGGGGAUUCCGUGAUGAAUAAUGAUAUGACCGCUGCGGUGGUGGCCAGGAACCUUCUCACUCCCAAAGAUAACAGACUACUUUUCAAACGGUGUGAUGAGUUGACUGUUAAGGAUUCUCUGGCUCUCAGUGUUCAGUGUGCAGGUUCUGUGUCUAAUAUGGUCCAACGCCUAUUUGCAUGAAUCCGCCAAGUUGAAUCAUUGGCGGUUGAAGUGAUGAGUCUUAAACAGGAGAUUAGAGGACUCAAGCAUGAGAAUAAACAGUUGCACCGGCUCGCACAUGACUAUGCUACAAACAUGAAGAGGAAGCUUGACCAGAUGAAGGAAUCUGAUGGUCAGGUUUUACUUGAUCAUCAGAGGUUUGUGGGUUUGUUCCAAAGACAUUUAUUACCUUCGUCUUCUAGGGCUGUACCGCGCAAUGAAGCUCCAAAUGAUCAACCUCCGAUACUUCCUCAUUCUAGGGUUCUGUCAAGUACUGAGGCUCCGAAUGAUCCUCCUCCGGUACCUUCUCUUUCUGGGGCUCUACCGACUGCUGAGACUUUUCCUAAGCAACCUUUGUGAAGGCUUCCUAAGUUGAGAGAGGACAAACUUGUGGGACAAAUGAAAUUGGCCAUAACUCACGAACUGCUUAAAGUGGGCAAACACAAGCAAUGGUGUGCUCAUUGGAAACUUUGGUAUUUUAAAUUUUAAUCUUGUAUUUAUAGACGGAUGUAUGUGUAACUCUUUUAUUGAUCAUUUUGUAGCAUGCCACUGGAGGAAAUAUGGGACGUGAAACUCAACCAAAUCAGGGACAAGAAUAAUCUGCAUCUAAUGCAAGUUUUGACCUAUGUCUUUGUCCCUUUCUCGUGUGCGCUUUUAUAACCCAAUGCCAUUUGUUAAUUUUUCAGGUUUUUUUUUUAUUGUUUAUAGGUUUCGAAAAGGGGUAGAGUGAAACAAAAUGCAAGAGGCAGGUCAAUGCACAAUUCAAGGAAGCCACCUAAAAACCGUAGAAUCUGAAGGAAAUCAUUUGAAAAUUUAGACUUUUUGUUAAUGUCAAUUUUUUUCUUGGAUGAAGACAAUGUUGUGAACUUUAAGCCCCCAGGAUUUGGUGUUUUUUAUUUUGAGCAUAACCAAGCAAUGAAACAAUAUUUUUGAUAUGGUAGCAAUGAAAUGAUCAGGCAUUGCAUUCUCUUAUGGUUGCUCAAAAUAUCUUUAAGAUACAAAAGUGGGUGUGUUCAGUUUAGCAUGUCACGAAAUCAAAUUUUAUAUAGGUUUUGUAAUAUGAGAAACGGGUUGAGGUUUGGUGCCAUAAAUGGAGUUGUAGAUGCAUAUGCACUACUCAAACACAACUAUCUACAUGAAUACUUUCUAACACAAAUUUUAAAGGUUUUACUAAGAAAAGUAAAAACUUGUUAAAAGAUCUUAAAAUGACAGAAAUAACCUUGAACACAAGCCAUGUGCGAGGCACAUGACUUAUUUUGGAUGAAAAACGUAACGGAGUUAGGGUGGAAUGACAAAUUGAUGAUUUCGGCAAGUUGGUAUGACAAAUUACUUAAAAUUAUAGUUUGUGUAUAUGAUAUUUCAAAAAAAAAUUCCUUGGGAAAAUUAUGGUCCCUAUGUCCCAACCAAAUAAUAAGGUUUUUGAUGAGAUAAUCCAUGCAAACUUGAGCAUUAUAAUGUUCAUGAUUUUGUUUGAGUCUAUUCAUAUAUUUACUCUGUAAAUAUAGAUUAGAUCGGUUGGUAAGGCAUUGUAUCUGUCUCGUUUUUAUAUUUAAGUUUAAAUUCUUCUCUCUUAAGUUAUAGCUUAUAAUAUCGUCUUAACAAAACUAAAUAUACAUAUUUUUAGUGGGAUAUAUUUUGCUUAAGUAUGCAUGUUUGCAAGAUUAAAUGAAAACCUCCAAAAUGUAUGGGGUUUUAAAUUGAAUUCUAACCACCACCACCACCCUCAUAUAAUUAGGGCAAAAGGCGAAUUUAGGAAGGUUCGUGUUACAACCCGUUUAUAAUUUUAUUUUUGAAAAAAAAUGUGAAACGAUCAAAAUGCUCUUAGAGGGUAUGUGUCGACUUUCAUUGACUUACUGGUCAGGUCACGUGUGACAUAUUAAUUAGUAUAUUCUGUCAGCACUCGUUAUUAUGAAAGACUGAUCAUAAGCGUAGCGAAAAUUAGAACUAGAAUAAAGAUUUUACGAAACACGUAUAAAUCAUUUUAUUUUAAAGUAAUGGAAAAGAUAAUAACACUAGAUAUAAAAUAAUAAUGAUAGAAUAAAAUAAUAAAAAAAAGAGAGAAGAAAAGAUGAGAGGUGGAGAAGGAUCGGGAAGAAACGAAAAGAAGGGGAAAGGGGAGAAGGGGGGAAAGAAACUUUUCUUCUUCCUCCUUCACUCACGGGAUCCCUUUCAAACUAUUUUCAUCAUAAUUUCCUCCUACGAUAACGAAAUCACAUGAGGUCGUAAGCUAUAGUUUCGUAGCGAGGCCGUCUUCAAUCUUACCAUACCCACCCUUAGAAAACCGUUGUAUAAAGAAAACGAGGUCCAAACAUAUUGACUUGUUCCGGCGACUUUUCUCUGAUUUCGGGCAAUCCCGCUGGAAUCUGGCUCGACCCAAGUGAAAAUAAUGAUUCUCCCCUCGUGGGCUCUCCUCUAGCGUAAGUAUUUUCCCAAGGUUUUAACUUUUAGUUUUGGGGUCAAUUCAUGGUUUCGAAUUUCAAUUCGAUAUUUUGUAUGUAUAUUUGAGAUGAUGCUUGUUGUAUUGUUUAGGAGUUGAAUCGGAACCGGGUAGUCAUGAUUGGUUACAUAUAUAGGGAAGAACAUUGAAAUCCUAACCUCAAUUCGGUUCUCUUCAGAAAUUUAAGGGUUGGGUUUGUGUUAUAAGCAUUAAUGUUAUUCCAUAAUGGAGGCCAGAUACGUUGGAAUAUUUUGUGUGCCAUAUUUGUCCUACCCUUUAUGCACUGAAAAGAACAUUGCUGAAAUUGUAUGUGUUGCAGCCUAGGUUUGUGCAGUUAAUUAGAGUUCUAAAACUACUGAAUGGUUCUUUAUUCUUCCCAUGGCAUCGCCAGAUGCUGAUGCUGAAUAUUUGAUUGGACAAUGCUAUUAUUAGAGUAUUAUAUGACUCUUGUUUUGGCCGUGAAUUUAUUGGUGGUUCUUUAUUUCAUUCUUUCAGCGGAUGAAGAGCUUAAGACUGCUAGGAAUUUACAUUUUUAUUUUGAAGCACUUGAAUAAACAGUUUGGUUUUUCUAUAAUAAUAAUAAUUAAGGAUCAUUGAUAUGGUUAGGCUAGUGUACUAGUUACGAAUAAUUACAUGAAUGUUAUAGUUUAGGGAUUGCAUGUUAUUCUAUGGCCUGAGAACUAGUUCCUUGGUAAGAUUAAUGGAUUAUCAAACAUUAUACAUAUUCUCUAAUUGAAUACAUUACUAUGUUUAUGAGUUCAAGAUCAACUUAUUAUGGCUGGUAUGGAUAUCAAUAGUUGACAGAUCCAAUUUGGUGUGGUUACUUUUCCAUUAAGUAUUUCACGUUUAUACAUAUCAUGUUGUUUGCUUAAAUAAUACAAUGGAUGUCCUAUUAAGUGUAAAUGUCUAUAUGCGUAUACUGAAACCAAAAUCAAGUUGAUGAUUCACGUUUUGAAGUUAUAUAUAUAUAUAUAUAUAUAUAUAUAUAUAUUUCUCAUAUGCCUAGACAAGCUAUACAAAGAAAGUAUACCGUUUCUAUUAGUUAUUUUGAUUACAUGUAUGUAGUAAUGACUUGCAGUGGUGAUAGGAGUUUAUUGAAAUGGUGAACUACGAAUGGUUUGAUCCCUUUAGGGUAGUCUAACAAGGAGGUUAGAUGCAGCCAUAAAGUAUACUGAAAUUACUACGCAGUUCGAAUCUUGAGUUAUGCUUUGUACAUAUCCCGGAGCGCGGGGUAUGUUAGAUAUACGGAUGCGGGGUAUGUUAGAUAUAUGGAUACUUGGUGACGUCACGUGUCGAUCCUGGACGUAUGUCGGGAUUGGGGCCGUUAAAUGAAUUGCACCAAAUAGGGGAGGCCUUCGCCGGAUCUCUGUGUCCGAAGCCGACAAACACAGAGAUCCAAACCACUCAUUUUAAAUCAUAUGGUUCUCAUUAGCUCAUUCUAUUGGCCUUCCUCACACAAACCACGAGUUCAGAUCUCCCUCUCUUUAACUACCUGGAUAUUCGAGUUCUUGAACUUCGAAAACAAAAAUCCAGAGAGGAUCUCGACUCCAAAUAAGGUAGUUUUUCUACUGUGCAUGUAGAUAGCCCCAAAAAUAAGGGAAACCGCACCCCCCCCCCUCCGAAAAAAAAAAACCCCACCCAUAACAACAGUACAACUAUAAGUAAAGCUUUAUGAGGGGUCGCUCUAAACAAUGUUGCAUUAAAAUUAUCUGACAAUAUAACAUUAUUUCGAAUAAAACUUUUGUAUAAAUUAUAAGUUCAAACAAAAGACACUAUACAACUUCUUCUUGACUAUUUUAGGUGUAUAUAUACUCCAUUGCUGAAAAUUCUACUAUGCUCAUCAUAAUUCUUGCCAAUCCAUCAGGCAAUUGGGUUAAAUUGCCCUUGACCAAAAAAAUGAUGGUCCAUUGGUGCCAAAUUGGGCAGGCAAUUGGUGGGCUCCAAUAAGCUCGUUGAACUACCCUUGUAGCCCGUUGGCAAUAAGUAACGAUGGGCCUGACGUCAAGUAGCAAAAGGCUGACCUUAACCCUGUGCACCACACUUUGUGGCGCAUUUGAUAUUAAAAUUUUGAAAAAUUCAACGGUCAAGAUUAAUCCCAUGGUAAAAAAUCCAAAAAAAAUUUACAACAAAAAGUAUUUAAAAAACUUACAAAGUUCCUGCUUAAACAAAAAUUUGAGCUGAUAUUACUAAUAGAUAAUGACACGUGGUGCAAUGAAAGUGGUGAAAAUGGAAAAGUAUCCUCCCCAGCUCCCUUCCACCAAAUCCAUCAAGUUCAAAGAUCCGGAUCUUUGAAAUUUAAUCCAACGGCUACAAACAAGGUCUACUAUAAAAGCUAUAAUAGAUUGGAUCAAAUUUCAAGGGCCGGAUCCGAGCUUGUGAAUUUGGUGGAAGGGAUCCGGAGUCCUUUCCAUUGAAAAUCUCAUCGCCUCUCCUUUCAGCCCUUCAAGGGAAACCCACUUCUUGGGCCGUCUUCAACCACGUAAAGCUUCACUCUUUUAUUAGUUUCUGUGUUUAAAUUUGUUGGGGUUUGCAGUUUUGGAUUGAAAUUGGUGUUUUGGGAUUUGUUGGGUGCUCACAUGUGGAAAUUUGGAAAAUUUUAGUUGUGGAUUGUGGGGAACUGACGCAGUGGCGGUCCUAUUUCAUGUAAAUUGCUUUCGUUUGUGUGUUUUUGGUGAAAUUAUGAUGAGGGUUGGAUAGUUGGACUGGUUAGAUUUGUUUUGUGAAAUUAGAGUGGGAUCAAUCAAGGUUGAGACCUUUUUAGGUAAAGUAAUUGUGAAAGUUAUGUUUUUACAAUUUUUUUUUUGCAAAUUUUGUGACUUGGUGGAUUUGGAAUUUUGGUUAUAUUAGAUAUAUGUGUAAAGAAAAUAGUUGAACUGCAUGAAGCUUGAGGGGUAAUGAGGGUUUUAGGUAUUUAGUGACAUUCAGGCCAUGCUUGAUGUCUAUUUGAUGUCGGCGUAUCAGAAAUGCUUGAACAAAGAAGAAAGGUGCUCGAAGAGCUGUAGUAGUUAACUACUUGGUUUGAUUAGAUUGCUAUGUUAAUCAAAAUGUCCCCUAUAGUAUGUUAUAGGGUCAAAGUUUUACAUUAGUGUUCUUUAGCGACUUGGUUUCAAAAUUUUCGUUUUCGUUCGACUUUCCUUGGUCUGUGAGGCCAAUGGUAGAAUGAUCAUGGAAAUAUUUUUGUCUUAAUAUCUCUGGUAACAGCGGGUGUGCAUUCUUAAAGGACUUGUUUGUCACUCUUUUAAGCUGUUUAAUGUGCUCAUUUUAGUAUGCAUCAUCCAAAGUCUAUAACUGGUAAAAGUAGCACUACAAGGGCGAGGGAGCUAUCAUCUGUUUGGAAAUAAGAGCUAUAGACAUGCCCCAUAAGGGUCAAUAGGUCUCAGUUGCAUAUCUAACUUGUUUCUCAUGUGUUUUCAUCCUGAAGGUUAGAAAAGGUGGGCACUCUAGACGCGCAGAGAGUGGUUCAUCAACACCAAGGAUGGCGGGUGAUCUCAUGUAUGUGGUUACAUGCUGGAGUUUUCCAUGUGCUUGCCAAUAUGCUGAGUCUUGUAUUCAUUGGAAUUCGGCUUGAGCAAGAAUUUGGAUUUGGUAUGCAUCUGGAUUUUUAGCUUUAUGUAUGUUAUCAUGCAUGUAUGGCCACAUCCAUAAGUGUUUGUAGUAAAAGAUAAAGCUCACGAUGUAAGUUGUAGAAUAAUAAAUUAGUUACCAAGUGCAAAACUUCUUUCAUAAAUCUAGAAGAGAAACACUUUCCGGAUGGCUUUAGCUACCUUGCGAUUAAUCUACAGAGGAUUUCUAUGCAUUUGUUUAUUGAAUUGUAAUCCUAGAGUAGUGGUCAUGUAGUGCUGGUUGCAUUAUAACUUACAUCGGUAUGUUGUUUGGUUUGAUGGAAACAAGAGGACGUUUUGUUCAGCGGUGAGCAACGAAAAGAGUUUAUACACUGAAGAUGGGGUUCAAACUUUAGUUUUAGAUAUAGUAUUCCAUUUUACAGAAUAAAAUUGCUUGAAACAGAAGCUGAGAGAUUAUUUCAAUUUCCAUCACAUCUAUGGGAACAAUGAUUGUUUUGGAUAUCCUGUACAUGUAGACAUGGCGCCUCAUUUUGAAAUGUUUCAAGAUGCCGUCUAUUUGAAAAGAUUGAAAAAAUAAUAGUUUGAUGCGGAUCUACAUCAUGUACAGUUGUUUUGAUGAACUGUUUUAACUAAUUGGUUUGAAAUUCUAAUGUUUUUCUGAUUUGUUCUUCGGCAGUUCGAAUUGGUUUCCUAUAUCUCAUGUCUGGUUUUGGUGGGAGUUUGCUUUCAGCUCUUUUAUUCAAUAUGGUAUUUCUGUUGGUGCUUCUGGUGCACUUUUUGGUUUACUAGGAAGCAUGCUUUCAGAGCUCACAUCAAAUUGGACAAUGUAUGUAAAUAAGGCAAAUAAAAUUCUGUAUACUCAAUGAUGGACCUCUUUAUAGUAUGUGCACGACCCUUUGAUCUUACAGUUUCAGAUUUCGAUCCGCAGUUAGCAGCAUUGCUUACUCUCCUUUUCAUCAUCAUAAUAACUUAGCAGUGGGAAUUCUACCACACGUGGACAACUUUGCUCAUAUUGGAGGAUUUGUCUCUGGAUUUCUUCUUGGAUUUUUGUUUUUGAUCUGCCCCCAGUUUAAAUGGCUUACCCAACGGAAUGCUCCCCCUGGACGUGUUACUACUCCAGUGAAAUCUAAACACAAGACGUAUCAAUAUGUAUUGUGGGUCCUCUCUUUGAUACUAUUGAUUGUUGGGUAAGCUCCUCCUCGAUCUCUGAUUUAAUUGUUUGACUUCAUGAACCUAAUCAACUCCCUGCAUGAAAAUCUGGUAGCCACAGUUGACAUAUGCACAUUUUUUUUUUUAUCAAAUCAGAGAACUGGAUUUUGUAUAGAUAUGUAGAUCUCGUGUGUCCUGUAAUAUUUUCAUUGCAAAUAGGCUCUGUAUCUGCUUGUUUCUCAUCAGAAUGGUUAGGAGAAGGCAUUGUGUUAUAGCUAUUCUCUGUGUAAUACUAAUUGAUCACUUUGUUGAUAGCGGCUUCUACUUUGCUGUUUUGGAUUGCAUGUAUUGGAAAUAAAGGUUCAUUUUCCUCGUAUUUGUGUAGUAUCAGUAUAUGCAGGCAUUUUCUGACAGAAGUCAUGUUUUUGACAGGUAUACUCUUGGCUUGGUUGCUCUUUUUCGAGGGGUCAAUCUAAACAACCACUGUUCCUAGUGUCAUUACUUGAGCUAUGUCCCUACAUCAAAAUGGAAUUGCGAGUCGCAAAUAUUUAUUGUCUGAUAAUAUGCUGUACUUUUCUACUCAUAUUAACUUCCACCUUAAUAUUUGAUUGACAGAAGUGCUUGCUUAUUAAUAUGAUCAUGGUUGCAUUCAGUCGUUCUAGUUUGGCAUGCCGUUUAGUCUAAUGCCUUAAAGAAAUGUAAUUUAAGAAAUGACUUCUGAAAUUCUGUGUCAGGAAAUUGCUUUUGCAACGUACUUUGUUAGUACUAUAAGUUGGUUUUGUACUGACAUAUUGUUCUUUAUAUGCAUAUAUGCACCAAUCUUGCAGUUGAGCCAGAUAGGGAAUCAGCUGAACUUAACGUGCGUAAGCAAUGGUAGAAAUGGGACAUAAUCAUUGUCAGAUCCCAGCCCCUCCCGGACUUAGCAGCUAUAUGCUGAGCUUUGCAGUUGACCAUACAUGUACAGAUUUCAGAGUUGAUAGAAUGUUGAUUGAUAUGCUUCAUUCUUGUAGUAAGUAUUCUUUCUCUUACUUCUAUUUUUUGUUGGGUGAAAUAGUCAUGUGUAUUCACCAAGCAAUGGUUCUCAUUGUCAUUAUUCUUUUCAUUCUUUUACUGCCUUUGUACCUCUUUUCUACUAUUCAUAACAGUUGAAACCCAUACCGAUAACUAUGAAAUUUAUUUGCCAUGUAAAACUACUCAAUCACGCAAUUUACCCAUACCUAAGUUUGUUGAAUGUGGAAUGUUAUGGAUCCUCUCAAGCGGACCCUCUCGGCUCUCUCAUUCUGCAAUGUUGCAAGAUGAUCGGACAUAUGUAUACUUUGUAGUUCAUCCUCUAGAGACCAACUUUGAAAAAAAAAUCAACUAAAUAAAAAAUCAUUUAACCAUUUAAUUAACAUUGUCAAACUUUCAGUAUUUAAUUGAAAAACAUAGUUCAUUUAUUUAUUGGAUAACAAUUAGAUGACAAAACAAGUAUGAAUUACUUUGGUUUUUGGCGAAGUUGGACUUUAAAGUGAGGCGUUAAUAACUGGAUAUGUCUACAGUGGUGGAAUUCUCUUGCUAAAGACUUGAGCCCCCAUGAAGUUUAAAAAUUAAGAAAGCUUGAUCUCACUAGUAACUGGUACAAUUUUUAGAAAGGUUGCAUCCACAACAAGCUUUCUUGCAAUGGUACUUUAGGGGAACUAUGAGAAAAUCAGCAAUCUCACAGUCCAGCCCCUUAUAAAACAUAGAGACUUCAAAAUUUCCAUUCAUAGCUAGGGUCGCUGAUCACUCAUAUAUUUCAUGCAUUUAUACCAUCCAUUCUAAAGUCUUUGUGAUGUUUUGUGUUAAAAUUGUGGCAUUUUACCUUACCUUGUGUUAGUGUGCAGUUAAAUUUGUUUUAGGAUCAAUUUCAAGCAAAAAGGAGAAAAUGAAAUAAUAAAAAAACAAACAAAAGAAUUGGAGUCAAUUAUUCAAUGGCCUUGCACGAUGAUAGCAAUGUUUGAGCAUUUACACUUUGGUUAUGUUCAACAGUUAUAUGGAGCCUUAAACAUUGACAAAAGAAAGGGAAUAUGUGGCCAGGGAACACACGGAAGUGGAACAAAAAAAGGAAAGAAAAGGUGGUGGAAAAGAAAGGAAAUGGGAUUAUUGGGUUUUGGUAGGCAACUUUACAGUUAGUAGUCAAAAUACUUCCCCGAGGAGGACCACUUCUCUCAAAGGAUAGGAGCAGCGACAAGAUAUUGAUCAUCAUGAAGUGGUUAGUCCUCCUACUGCAACUAAGAAGCACGGCAGGAGAGAAAAGAAUAAUGGAGCAGAAAGACAGCGCAGAGGAGAGAGACUGACAGACACGGGACAGAGUGGAGAGACCGACAGAGUGGAGAGAAGACAGAGAGGGCAGACUGACAGAAAAAAAGAAAAGAAAAGAAAAAAAAAAGGGAAAUAGAGAAGAGAGGGCACGGCAGAAGGGAUGGCACACGGACAGAAAGAAUAAAAGCAAAGAGAGUAGAGAGAGCCAGGGGAGAAAAAGAAAAAGGAUAGCAGAAAAAUAUAGAGAGAAGCCGUGGAGGGCAGAGAUGGAGCAACAUACAGCAGAGCAGAAAGAAGCAUGCUCAUCUCUUUGAGGAGAAGAUCGGAGAGCUUCCUUGUAAAAAAGGUUGUCUCUUUCUUUGAUUCUUCAUGAAUUUCUUAUAUAUUCAAAUAAUUAUGUGCAACUAAUUUCCUUUUGCUAGAGUGAGGUCAUGAGCCGCAACAUGAUUACGUAGAUUUCUCUUUCAAUUGCUUAAGUGUUGUUAAAUGCUUGCUUUGAUAUUUUCAAUCUCUAAAUUAAACUAUCUAUGUGUCUAGAAGCUUGAUCACCAUUAGGAUGCUUAGAAAAGUUAUCGGAUGCAAUUUUGAACGAAUGUCACGUUAAAAUUGGUUAUGCUUCUUGUGAUUGAGGAUUGUACUCUCCUAAGGUAAAUAUCAUGCUCUUAGGGAUUACAUGGUUUGAAGAAAAGAAAAAAGGAUUUUUCACUAAGAUUAAUGAAUCACUCAUGUUUAUAUUUAGUACAAAUGUUAUGGAUAAGUUGCAUGUAGUGGUAUGCGUUUUAGCUUGAAUGUUACAAGUAAAACAUACACAAGGAAAAUCCAACCUUCAAAGAAUGUGUUUUCAAUUAUUUAAGCAAUUGGAAUAGCUACAUAGGAGUGUUGUUGUAAAGGUUGAACUCUAGGAUAUUGUCAAUCUAUUUUUCUUCAAUCAUUUAUUUUAUCUUGAAUUUCCUCAUUUACUUGUUUUGUUUAGUUGAAUCACUAUUCCUAUAAGCCAAUUCCUAUUUUAGAUAUUUGUUUAAGUCACAUCGAGGAGUAUUUAGUUUCGUCAAAUUAGUGUAGUUCUUAGAGUUAAAUAAGUUAAAUACACAAAAACUCGUAAAUUGUUUAUAUCAGUCUCUGAGGAGAUCGACCUUGCUUGAGCCAUUCUAUACUACAACACUUAUUCUCUUACAAGAAUUUUCUAUGGUUUAACCCUUUGUUUUACAAGUGGUAAAAUCGCUAUCAAUCGCCUAGCAAGGUAACUUUCAUAUUAAAAGACACCAGCGUGACGUCUGAUGUGACCAAAAUAUAGGGUUCCAUGUAUUUAUUUUUUCAUUUUGGAUGGUUGCCAAAUGUUUCGAGUCAGCUUCUGGAAUCAAGGUGCUUUAAUGGUCUUCGUCCUUGGCGUACCGAAAGUGCCGGACAAUAGGUGGUUGCCAAAUGUUUCGAGUCAGCUUCUGGAAUCAAGGUGCUUUAAUGGUCUUUCCAGUCAGCUUCUGGAAUCAAGGUGCUUUAAUGGUCUUCGUCCUUGGCGUACCGAAAGUGCCAGACAAUAGGUGGUUGCCAAAUGUUUCCAGUUAGCUUUUGGAAUCAAGGUGCUUUAAUGGUCUUGGUCCUUGGCGUUCACCGAAAAUGCCAAACAACAGUUCCCAGUAGUGGAAGUAAGCUAGUGAAGUCGUCUAAAAAAACAAGCCAAAGUGGUUAUCAUUUACUUGGACUUAUUCCUUCUCAUAUUUGAAUUUUCAAGAAACAGAAACUGUGGUGUAAGUUCCUCCUAUGAUCCUAUCCUUCUAUAAAUUUCCUUGUCAUGUAACAAAUGGAACUCACCAAAAACUCAACACCCAUCUCUUUAUUUCUUUCUGCUUCUCUCACUAGUUAUAUAGUUAACCAGAUUAGAAAUGGGGGUUUUGGUUGUGAAAUUGAUCUUAAUAUACUUGCUUUUCAGUGCAAUGUUCGUUUGCUGUUGGAGCUCCCUGCAAUCGGGACUCGGAGGGAAUGCGACGGAUAGGCUGGCUCUGCUUGCCAUCAAAGCUCAAAUAAAGCAAGAUCUCCAUAAUUACAAUGUGAUGAGCUCCUGGAAUGAAUCCACGCACUUUUGCAUGUGGCAUGGUGUGACGUGCAGUCGACGACAUCGCCAAAGGGUCACUAACCUGGACCUGCAAUCUCAAAAUCUGGUAGGGAAACUAUCCCCAAACAUAGGAAAUCUAAGUUUUCUAAGGGAGCUAUGGCUGCGAAAUAACAGCUUCAGUCAUGAAAUUCCUCCACAAAUUGGGAAUUUGCGUAGAUUGCAGGUAUUGCGAUUAGACUUAAACUCAUUUAGUGGCAGUAUUCCACCCAAUAUAUCACAUUGCUUCAACCUUAUCCUAAUGCGUUUCUCUCGCAACAAGUUGGUGGGUAAAAUUCCUUCAGAAAUUGGAUUGCUGUCAAAACUGCAAAAAUUUUCAUUAAAUUUUAAUAAUGCAACGGGACAGGUCCCUCCUUCCUUAGGGAACCUUUCGUCUCUCCAGCGACUAAGUCUUGUUGAUAAUAACUUGAUGGGAAACAUCCCCGGUUCUCUUGGCCAAUUGAAAAAAUUAACCUUCUUGGGAUUGGGGUUAAAUCAGUUGUCUGGUAGCAUCCCUUCCUCAUUUUAUAACCUCUCUUCUCUUGAUACAUUUUCCAUAGAAAUUAACCAAAUUCAAGGGAGUAUUGCAUCAGAUAUUGGCCAAAGUCUUCCCAAUCUCGGAGUCUUCAACGUCGGCGCAAACCAACUUACUGGGUCCAUACCUCCCUCAAUAUCCAAUUUCACAAGUAUUCGGAAAUUUGAAGUUGGGAGUAACAACCUAAUCGGACAGGUACCGAAUCUCCAAAAGUUUCACAACCUCCUGAAGUUCAACAUUCAAUUUAAUAAUAUUGGAAGCGGUAAAGAUGGUGACUUAAGUUUUCUCUCGGACUUGACCAAUGCCACCUAGUUACAAUCGCUGGUUAUUAACACCAACAAUUUUGGAGGGACAUUGCCCAUUUCAAUAUCCAAUCUUUCAACCAAACUUGAAUUGUUUUGGGUUGACGAUAACCAAUUAUAUGGAAGCAUCCCAUCUGGGAUAGGGAACCUGGUGAGCUUGGCAUCGUUGCGUUGGGGGAAUAAUAGCUUCACAGGUAACAUCCCCUCUGACAUGGGUAAGCUUUCAAACCUUGGAGUAUUAUAUAUUUCCAAUAACAACUUAUCAGGAAAUAUCCCGUCUUCCUUAAGAAAUUUAACCAAGUUAUACCAUCUUCGGUUGGAUGAAAAUUAUCUUGAGGGCAGCAUUCCUUCAGGUCUGGGGGAAUGCCUUUGGUUGCAAUUGUUGAAUCUUUCUUAUAACCUUCUUAAUGGCACAAUACCCAAACAAGUUUUUAGACUCUCCUCCUUAUCAAUUUAUUUGGGCCUGUCUAAUAACCUCUUCACAGGUUCCCUUCCUCCGGAGGUUGGGAAUUUAAAUAGUCUAAGUGAACUGGAUCUUUCUGAUAACAUGUUAUCUGGAGAACUCCCCAGUAGCCUUGGUGGUUGUGAGAGUUUAGAAGUCCUGCAUUUGCAAGGAAACUUCUUCAAUGGGUCCCUUCCUUUGUCUAUGAGUUCAGUGAGAGGGAUUCAAGAUCUAGACCUUUCUCGCAAUAAUUUUUCAGGUGAAAUUCCACAUUUUUUAGAAGGCUUUAGAAUCCUGAAUAAUCUGAACUUAUCAUUCAAUCAAUUUUGGGGAGUGGUACCAACUGGAGGUGUUUUCAAAAAUGCAAGUGUUAUUUCAGUUGUUGGCAACACUAAUCUGUGCAGCCCUGUUGCUAAUUUAAAGCUUCCCAAGUGCAAGUCUAAAGAGACCAAGAAACAAAGAUUGUCUCGUAGCUUGAAACUAAUACUCCCUUUAGUAUUUGGACUUACUCUUCUAGGAAUAGCCAUGGUGUUCUCCUAUUUCUUUCUUUGUUCGUCAAGGAAGAAAAGGACAGAAAUUUCAUUGAGCACUUUGGAGAACACUAUUUUGCAAGUGUCAUAUGCUACUCUACUCAAAGCUACUAACGGGUUCUCAAAGGCUAAUUUAAUUGGUGCUGGUAGUUUUGGGUAUGUAUACAAAGGAGUUCUUGAUGAUGAUGAUAAAGCUCAACUUGUUGCAGUGAAGGUGUUUAACUUGUUAUGUUGUGGAGCUUCGAAGAGUUUCAUAGCCGAAUGUGAAGCUUUGAGAAAUAUUAGGCAUCGAAAUCUCGUCAAGAUUAUAACCGUGUGUUCAAGUGUUGAUUUUCAUGGUAAUGAUUUCAAGGCUCUAGUUUAUAAGUUCAUGGACAACGGGGAGCUUAGAGGAGUGGCUGCAUCCACCCGCUGGAACUGAAGAGUUAAGAGAUCAUGUACCCGUGAAGUUAAGUCUUCUUUAGAGGCUAGAAAUUGUCAUUGGUGUUGCUUGUGCACUGGAUUAUCUUCAUAAUUAUUGUGAAGCGCCAAUAGUUCAUUGUGAUCUCAAGCCAAGCAACGUUCUCUUGGACAACGAAUUGACUGGCCAUGUUUCUGACUUUGGAUUAGUAAGGUUUCUCUCACAAGUAACGAGUAAUGUUUCAACAAUUCAGAGUCAGACAAGUUCCGUUGGAAUAAGAGGAACCAUUGGUUAUGUAGCUCCAGGUAUAUAUAUGUUAGAUAUAUACUUCAUUAUAUUUCCUUUUUUAUUCUGCAGUAUUUAAUUUACAAAAUUCAAACUGAACUAUUUAUACACAAAUGUGAUGUUUGAAUUGUAGAGUAUGGCAUGGGGAGUGAGGUGUCAACGAAUGUUGAUAUCUACAGCUUUGGCAUUCUCUUGUUGGAGAUGUUUACAGGGAAGAGACCCAUUGACAACAUGUUUGGUGAUAGCUUGAACCUUCAUAAUUUUGUCAAGAUGGCUCUCCCCGGGCGAGUUACUGAGAUUGCAGAUGCACCACUUCUUCAAGGAGGCCCGAAUGAGAAUCCCAAUCAAUGCAGUGCGAGAAUUCAUAGAGUUGAGGUGUGCUUGAGUUCAAUAUUUAGAAUUGGAAUUGCUUGUUCUGCUGAAUCCGCAACAGAUCGACUAAAGAAUAUCAAUGAUGUUGCAUCUAAACUUCAUUCCAUUAGGAAUACUUUUCUUGGAUAGAAACUCCUUUUUAUGUGCUUUUGUGAUAGAGAAAUUUCGUGUACUGCUUGUGAAGUCUAGCUUUUAUGUUACCACAGUAGAUGUGGAAGUUUGCAAUGUAAAUAAUCAUCAAUGAAGUUCAUUGUGUGAAAAGUGUGUUACUACUACUUGUACUUGGUAGUUUUGUGUAAUAUUCACAUCGAUUAAAGUCUAGUUCGUGCCACAAAAUUGUUGAAUAUUCACAUUGACAGAUUCCAAAUUUUUGAAAGAUUCGUAACCUCAAGACCCUCAACAUUCAAUAAAAUCAUCUUGGAAGCUGUAAAGAUGGUGAGUUGAGUUUCCUAUCAUACUUGACCACCAUCUGUGUAAGGUGUUUUCGAAAAUCAAAGUGCUAUUUCAAUUGUUGACAACACUAGAUUCUGCGAGGGAAUUCCUAAUCUCAAGCUGCCCAAUUGCAAUCUAAAGAGCUCCAAGAAAAGAAGAUUAGCUUAUAGAUUGAAAUUAAUAAUCCCUUUAGUAUUCAGACUUGCUCUACUUGCAAGUGUCAUAUGCUACUUUCUCAAAAGCCACUGAUCGUUUUCUUCAACUAAUUUGACUGGUGUUGGCAGUAUCCUCCAUAUAAGUGAAGGGAAUUGGGUUCAAGUUGGUUGGUAUGGUUAAUAGGGUUUGCAAAUAGUCAUUUUUUUGUAGAAUUUUAACCCCAACUUUAAAGCCCAUGGCCUAUGACAAAUCAGUGUUUUCUAGCAUUGUUGCUAUCAAUAUUCUCCCAUGUGCAUUCUGAAUUCUAAUCCAAUGGUUUUAGCAUUCAUUCUACUAAUCUUGACAAUGAAAGAGUUUUUUUUUUUUUUUUUGGUUCGAAUAAAUGAUAUUAUCUACACAAAGAGGAAGGGGAUAGACUUAGCUUAAGUGGCAUGAAAGAAUUUCUAUUAAACCUGCAAAAAUGAAAAUUCUCAGCCGGUCAUUAAUGGAUUUGAAUUUAGAUUUAUUACAAUUGAUAAAGAUUUUUUUUUUUUCGGCAAUCAAUAGGAUACUAACAAAUUUGUUUUUAGUACAAAGAUGUCACGAUAAUGUGACUUAUAGUUGUGUCACUGACCUUUUAACUUAUUGCCCUAUCUUUAACACACUUCAAUUAAUAUCAUCCUCUAAUUGUUAGUAUUUAAUGAAUCUCAUCAUAAAUUGUUAGCCAAAAUAUUAAUUAUCAAAGCAAACAAACUUGAUUGAGUUAUAAAUUUAACAUGACCCAGUUGGCAUGGCUAGGAGAAAAAUCAAUUUUGUUCAUAAUUUUCAUGUCUUCCAAGUGAACAUGGGGCUAUAAGUGAAGUUCCAAAGGGUACGGUGGUGUAAUUUGGUCCAUGAAUUGUCUCCUCCAAUUUGCAUGCAUGCGGUAGGUGACUGACUCCCAAAUAAUUCUCGUUGCCAAGCAAAUUAAAUACCAUUAAUUAAGAGCUUAAAAACACUUUAAUUAUUACCUCUAUUUUGCUUUUGCAAUUAGGAAAUUUUCCCCCUUUUGCGUACAAUAUUAUAAGAAUAUUUUUGUUCUCUACACUUAAAUGAUGGUGAUGCUCACUACCUUAUUUAUCACCGUUAUAUGAGUUUAAUACAUGUUAAAACUCAUAGUGAUGGUGCUAGCUACCUGCUUCUUGUGUUUUUUUAAAGAAAGAAAGGGGCAUUUGAUGUUUGGACAGACAUAGUGAUGGUGCUAGCUACAUGCUUCUUGUGUUUUCAAAAAGAAAAUAAAAAAAUGAGAAAAGGCUAAUUUGCACCCUUUUGGAUAUUAUGAUGCCAAUUUGCCUCGUUGAGAAACUUGUGGCUUUUCUAAUGGAGAUUGCGUAAAGGUGCAAACAAUUUGUUAAUGGUUGUGCAAAAUAGGUUUCAUACUGCACUCCGCCGCGGGAUUUGAAAUCAUAACCCACAAUUUAACAUACCCAUUUCUAAAUUAUUCAGAAAUCAAUCAGAGAAACUUCAAGCAGAAGAAAAUUGAGUUCUCAAUUAGAGAAAACUUCAAUUUCAUGCAAGUUUUUUUGUUCAAAUUUCAGGGCUUAACAAUGCAAGAUUUGAAUUUGCAUUUGGUUCAAAGAAGUAAGAUAAACUGAUAAGAAAAAUGAACUAAAAAAAUAGUGUUUUUUUUACAAUAUAUAAAGAGACAAUCUCAGAAGUUUGCAUAUGUGCUGGAAAUUUACAAUAUAUAAAGAGACAAUAUCAGAAUAAAACACAUUUGAAGAAAAAGUAAUAAGAAAAGAAAAUAGUGUUUUUUACCUAUGAUCCAUGUGAGGAGUAGAAUUUUCAGUCAUAAUUGACAACCCAAGAGCUCUGUAAAUCAAAUAUAUAGGAAAAGAUCAAUAAAAAGUGAAUUACAGUUUCUCAAAUCAGAAAGUAACAUUUAUUUGAAAAGAUUCAGACUCAUUUUGGAUAUAGAUAAACAAUGGCAUGUUAAAAACCAAAAUGAUAAGGCAUUCAACAUUCAACAUUCACGUAAAAAAAAUGAAAUACAUGUUAUCCAUCAAUGUUUUGGUAACAAAUUCCCAAAUUGCUCUAUCUACCAAACAUUUGCAAAUCUAUAGUUACAGAUGUUUAGUUCUAUGAUAUUCAACCCAAUACCCACAUUAUUGGCAAAACGACAUUGUAUAGAUCGUUUGAGCACCCGAGCCAAUGACAAUAACAUUGAAGGCAACUACAAAAUUGUACAUUAUAUAAAGAGGCAAUCUCACAAUCAAAAUUGUCAAAAUCAAUAUUUUAUGGCUACAUUUUUUUCAUCAGUCAAUCAAUACACACUGAACACAGAAUCACAUACUCGACAAAAAUUCAAACCCAUAAAUCUGAAAUUAGCAAUGUUAUUUCUUACCCCCCAAAAACAAUCCAAAUCUUAGUGGUUACAUUCAUUAGUCAAGCACUCAACCACUUAGGCACAUCAACUACAACUUGGGAAUUGUGGAGCAAAAAAUAAUCACAAGGCGACACGUGGACUUUUUAGUAUAAGAGGACCAAACUACCCUUGAGGCACACCGAGAUUCCUACACGCGAGCAGCUCAAAAAUGCUCCAAAAAGGUAACAAUUCAAUAUUCAUCUCAUCAAAUCCCGUAACCUCUAAAAUAUUUAUUCCAAAAUUAUAUUAAUUGGUUAAUUAAUGGAUUAAUUACCCAAUUACUCCAUUAAACAUCAAUUAAAAAAUCCAAAUAACCACAACAUAUAUUCCCCUCAAUCCCAAAACUAGUGAUUGACCGGCCACCCCCUUUCUCCCCAACUUUUCACACUUUUCUCCAUUUUAUUACCCUAUUUACACAACUAUUCAAUUUUGUAACCUCCUAUUUAUUUCUUUAUACUUAAUUAGCCAAUAAAUUGGCUAAUUAAGCUAAAACUAUAACCACCAAAACCCAUUAGUGGCCGGCCACACCUUGGGAAAAUUGGGCAAAGCCUAACCCUAUAAAUAGGCACCCAUUCUCACAAAAAAGCUAGGCCAACACUCUUGCAAAAAUCUCUAAAUUCUCUAAACACUCUUUCUCUCUAAAUUCUAACUUUGGCAUCGGAGGUUCUUCGGCCAAAGCCUCCCCCCAUUCAUCGUGGGCGCGUGAGGCUUGUGGCCAUAACCAAAUGUGUUAUUUAUUUUGUAGGUGCAAUUUUGUUUAAAAUCAAGGAGGAAGAAAUUUGCAUCCACAAAUUGGUGCUUUCAUUGAGAGUUGAGAUUCACACUCGUAGAAGACUCUUGCGCAAAAAGGUUUUUUCUCUAUUUCCUCUAUUUUCUAGUCCACUUGUAUUUUUCAUACGUUUUUAUUAUGAGAAUUUUUUAUUUGCCAAGAUUCUUUGAUAAAACGUAAAAGAGAAAUACAAUGGCUAGAAAUUUAGAAAAUUCCACAAGUGAAAAUUCCAAUAUUCAAGAAAUGGGACUGCGGUGAUCCACGAGACUAAACGUGAUCUUAAAGGGAGCGGCACCACCACCACAAGGCUCCACCAUGGCAACCACCGAGGUGGCCACCAUGGCAAUCACCCGCGGCGAGGUCCAUGGCUCCACCACUACGGCCCAAGCCGUGUUAUCCAGGGCCCACGCCACCAAAGCCACGGCUCGAGCCAUGUUACUCCAUGCCCAACGUGAGCCCAAUGCGUUUCCAAUUCGAGCUCAAGCCUCGCAUUCGCAUGCACCACGCAUUAAGCAGCCUGCUCCCGUGACCUAGCCUGCUCCCGUAAUCCAACCUACUCCUGCAGCCUUGCCUGCUCCCGCGACCCAGCCUGCUCCUGUAAUCCAGCCUGCUCCUGCAGCCUUGCCUCCCAUGGUUUCCCAAGCAGCUCAAGUUGGCCCGAGAAUAUCUUAACUAUCCGGAGCAACCAUCAAGCUGGGGGCAUUUUCACCAAAUUUCUCCGCGGAUUUGACAUUUCCCAAUUCAAAUCUUGCACCCGGAGUCUACCACACUUCCAUUGCUCAAGGAGGCACAUUCCUUCCAAGCUCUUCCAAUCCAAAUGGCGAACAACACUUGUCUCGACAAGUCAUAGAGUUGACGAGCGCCCUUGCACAACAGACGACCUUGGUGAAUCAACUCUUGCAACGCACCGAGAUCCAACGUGCCCCGGACGAGGUGUCCCGAAGUAGGACAAGGGUAAAUGAACCUCUCCGCCAGCAUCCCGGCAAACAUUAACCAGCCAUGUUCCAAGCGUUCGUGCAUUCCCAAUCAAGCCCACAGACGAGCAUACGUUCACGGUUGAGGUCAUACUCCGAUUAUCAACAUGGACAACCUUCCAGGUGAAAUGUUCAUUCACAACUAGGCUCACAAGGAGCAUUCUCCACCUCACAUCUGAGUAGGCAGCACAGCAGAUGGAGAGAAACAGUCACUCAAUCCGACUCAAGUUCAAGCAGCAGCCUGCGAACGGCCCGUUCGCUUGCUGGAUACAUGCCACAUGCACCGCAGUCGCAACAUAGACGAGUUAAACAUAGGGAAGAGCGGCCCAAACCCAUAGGUCACGACCGGAGGCAGUCGAAAAUUCCAUUGCCCCAGCAGAGGUAAAUUCAAGAAGAAGUUGAUAGGCUUUUAACUGAACGACUGCGCAAUUUCCAACGAAACGAGGCUGCUGACGUACGCUUCGACGAGACAUGACCAACAUAAGCAUGUCAUCAUUCACGAAUGAGAUCGAGUUGAUAGAUCCACCUCGCGGGUUCACUAUGCCUCAUUUCAUUCCGUACAAGGGAGACGAAGAUCCGGAUCGACAUCUCAAGUAUUACUGCAGUACCAUGAUCCUCUACAGGAACAAUGAUUCACUUAUGUGCAAAAUUUUUGCCACAACUCUACAAGGCGAGGCGUAAGACUGGUUUCACACUCUACCGCCGCAGUCGAUCCGAAGUUUUAACGAACUUUCCUUUGUUUUCACUAAGGAGUAUUCGUUUAAUCGCUCAAUCAAAAGGACAUCCGACCAUCUCUUCAGCAUCGUAAAAGACCCUCGGGAGACAAUUCGCGACUAUGUCAAGAAGUUCAAAAUGGAGAAGGCGAAGAUUGUUGGCUACAACGAAGACAUAGCAACGACAACAUUCAGAAAUGGGCUUUCCACGGAACAUCCUUUAUUCGGAAAAUUGAUCAUGGGAGAAGAAUUGACCCUAGCAGCUUCAUAUGCUUUGGCAGAAAAGCAUGCAUUAUGGGACGAGGCCAAGCAGUCUAACAAAAACGAGUCAAAAAAGAAGCACAUGGAACGUUCCCCGACCAAAGAAAACUCAGCGCUUGAAACAUUCACCAAGUUCACAGUUCCAAUCAGCCAAAUUCUUCGCAAGCUCAAGAAUGAACCUUGGUUUGAACUACCACCACCCAUGAAAAGCGAUCUUACUAGGCUGGAUCAUACAAAAUAUUGCGCAUUCCAUCAAGGACCAGGCCACACUACCAACGGCUGCCUGAAGUGGAAGCAGUACCUUGAGAAGCUGACAAAUGAGGGCCGAUGCGAUGAGUAUCUUAACAGGUCAACAAAACGGCCUACAUAAGCAGGGGAAGUUCCCAUCACCCCCUGAACCACGUUUGGAUUUUUUCCAAAUAAGUUCGAAGAUUCAAGCAGCUCGACGAACAAGGCUUCAUAAGCCGAAGAAUAUCCAGUUUGUUAUGCAGUUUCUACUUUCCAGCACAGUUGAUUUAUUUCUUUAUUCUCAAUAAAGAUUCAAGAAGUUAUUCAUAAGUCUGCUCCAAACCCUUUCUGGGUCUGCUCUCCAGUGCGAGAGGUUAAACUAAUUGCUCUCCAGUGCGAUAGGGUAAACUAAUUCCCCGACACCCUAAAGGGUCUGCUCUCUAGUGUGAUAGGUUAAACUAAUUGCUCUACAGUGUGAGAGGGUAAACCAAUUCCCCGACACCCAUAUGGGUCUGCUCUCCAGCGCGAAAGGUUAAACUAAUUGCUCUCCAGUGCGAGAAGGUAAACCAAUUGCUCUCCAGUGUGAAAGGGUAAACUAAAUCCCUGACACCCAUCUGGGAAAGCUUCCAAUGUAAGAAGGCCACAUAGUUUAAAAGAUCGAAUGCUUAAAUAUCAGUUAAGUAACAAAUGGUUAGGGAGCAGCAACCACUUUUACACUUAAUAGUUCGCUCAUCCUACACUUCAUCUUUAGCAACUCCGAUCUUGGCAGCUUCAUCCUUGACUGCUCCAUCUACGGCAACUGAGAAAUCAAACUCAAGCAGUUUCCUCAUUUUUGGCAAGCAGCCCAGACGUGGUAGCCCAAACUGUUGUCCAUGCCACGCCAUUUCCUCGGCCCAUGCCGAGCCAAUCCUUGGCUUCAAUCAAGCUGACAACAUAAACAAUGGCCCUUGCCACAUCACCUCAUUGGCCCAUGCCAAGCCGACUCCUGGCCCCUGCCAGCCGACGUGCCACACCACCCCCGACGGCUGCCCCGUGGUAGCACCUCCCAAGAAGAAGAUAAGGAGAAUUAAGUUUUCCUUACAUCGGUGCGGCGGAGAAAACAAAGAAAGCAACGAAAGACAGUCCUUCGCACGAACAAGAUGUAGAAGAUUGAAGCUUUCUCUCUCUUGUAGGGUAGAAUAAAUUGCUCUCCAAAGUUGAUUUAACAACCCACUUAAGGUGGACUUAAAUAGGCUUUGAGAAAAAUUUAUUUCCCUUUCCUAGAAGGAUCUAAUUUCACAUUAAAGAGGGAAUCAAGCAGUCCUAAGUUUCCUAGAGCAAGAAGAUCUCUACACCUGCUGCCCUUUCCUACGAGCAGCCCAGCAGGUGUGGGGGCAUUUGUGGAGCCAAAAAUAAUCACAAGGCGGCACGUGGAUUUUUUAGUAUAAGAGGACCAAACUACCCUUGAGGCGCACCGGGAUUGCUACAUGCGAGCAGCUAAAAAAUGCUCCAAAUAUUUAUUCCAAAAUUAUAUUAAUUGGUUAAUUAAUGGAUUAAUUACCCAAUUAAUCCAUUAAACAUCAAUUAAAACAUCCAAAUAACCACAACAUAUAUCCCACUCAAUCCCAAAACUAGUGAUUGACCGGCCACCCCCUUUCUCCCUAGCUUUUCACACUUUUCUCCAUUUUAUUACCCUAUUUACACAACUAUUCAAUUUUGUAACCUCCUAUUUAUUUCUUUUAUACUUAAUUAGCCAAUAAAUUGGCUAAUUAAGCUAAAACUAUAACCACCAAAACUCAUUAGUGGCCGGCCACACCUUGGGAAAAUUGGGCAAAGCCUAACCCUAUAAAUAGGCACCCAUUCUCACCAAAAAGCUAGGCCAACACUCUUGCAAAAAUCCCAAAAUUCUCUAAACACUCUUUCUCUCUCAAUUCUAACUUUGGCAUCGGAGGUUCUUUGGCCAAAGCCCCCCAUUCAUCGUGGGCGCGUGAGGCUUGUGGCCAUAACCAAAGGUGUUAUUUAUUUUGUAGGUGCAAUUUUGUCUAAGAUCAAGGAGGAAGAAAUUUGCAUCCACAUUCCACAGGAAUGUUAUGCAAAUCUUAGGCAGCUUGAAUCAUUAAGUUUGAGUUGGAAGAAGCUCCGUUGCCUGCUCUGCUAGUUGAGGAGUGUCACCAAAUUCGGCACUAUCAGCAACAUCAACACAUUUCACACACUCCCGCUUCCAAAACAUAUCACAAAAUCAAAAACCAAAUGAGAUUAUGUAGCAGAAAAGACAGAAAAAUAGAUUAAGAAAAGCAAUUAAUAUUAAAUAUAGAGGGUGAAUGAUGUUGUCCAAUAAAUAAGAUAGCUGUAUAUAUUUCUCGACCAUGAGAAAACAUCAAAUUAAUAGAGGCAUUAAUCCUAAGUUUGCCAUUCGUUAUUGCCGGAAUCAGGAGCUUUCUUUCAGAACCUUUUGACCAACGGGUCCUUGGUCUAAACUUGAUGACAUAUUGUAAAGUCCUCUUACAUACAAAUUAAUGAAAUAUUAAUUUAUUUCCAUGAGUUAUUUGAUUUUGCAAAUUCAAAAUAAUUGAAGAAUACUGAAAAUUACUAAACCCCAUCACAACAUCCCAUUAGUGAAAAAUCAAAGACAAAAGUAAAUUACUAUCUUUCUAAGCAUCCAAAGAUAGCAUACUCAAAAUACCAAAUUCAACUCCAAUGUCUUAAAAAAUUAAAAAACAAAUUAGCCAAAUUGGAAUAGUUAGAUCAAAUAAAGAUUUAAGUCAACCAAUUACACAAAAUAAUUCAUGCAAAGUAGGCUCCUAAGAAAAUAUACCACAAUGGUGGUGGAGGAGGCCAAGGCUUAAAUAGUGGAGGACAGCAACAUUUAAAUAUACCGCAGCAGCACGGAAUCCACAAACUGCAUAAUCAAAACCAAGGCAUACACAGAAGGGAAACCAGGAUCGGAAGUUGAUACCGAUGUUAGAUACCAAUUCCAGCCACUAGUUCAUCCUUAACUGGAAGCAAGAAUUGUAGGAAAUGGCGAGAAGGAGAAGAUGGAGUAUUUUUUGUAAAAUGAUUUUUUAUAUUUGAUUUCAUCUAUCCCCGUUCAACAAGAAAGAGAGAGCUUUAAUAGCACUAGCAACCUCCCCAAUGAAAGACCGUCACAUGGCAUACACAGCCUAAACUCUUAAACAACAGCACAAAAGAAAGGCAAAUUACACAACGACCCCAAAACAUUACAUUUCGACCCAAAACUUUGUUGCUUGUGAUCAAGGCAAUCACAGUACAUAACAGUCUAUGAUCCGAUUUUGCCGGCUCCGUCAGAGAUGCUGCCUGAGGAGGGCUUCGCUCUCAGAGAAUGAAGGAGGUAGGGUCUCGAAUUCUAAUUGUUUUCGAUUGAACCGAUAGUUCUGUAUAUCAAUUAAAUUUUGACUCUUUUGUGCAAUUUAGUUGAAAGUUGUUGGUUUUGAUUUGGCUUGAUCUUUCUGUUGCUGAGAAAUUGGGUGGAAAUUGUUGUUUUGAUUUUGUAGUUUUCAAGAAUUGCAUGCUUAGUGAUCAGUAAUCGUCUGGCUUUAUCGGAUAAGGAGAUAAAGCAAUUAGAUUUCAAAAUUUGGAUUUACAGUUCGUAUUUUGAGCCUGAAUUCAUGAAAACAAACGUAACCCAUUAUUUAUUAGCGAUUAAUGAUUUGAUCUUGCACCCAUGUUGUCUGCUUUCCAUUUCUCAUCUCUCUUGCCAUCUUCUCUGUAUUUUGGCUGCUUCUCUCUCCCGCACUCCUUUUUUUUUUUUUUUUUUUGAAUCUAGUGUCUCCUGGUCUUUAACCCGACUACUCACUAGGCCACCCGCCUGACCCCACAACAUUUGGUAGGCAAGAAACUCUAGCAAUUGCUAGGUCUAGGUGGGUACCUUGUGAGGUGUCGAACCCCAGACCUCUUGGUAACAAACCAAGGGCCUGACCAUUAGACUAAACACUCUUAGGUAAGAGACACUAAAGUAUAAAGUGAGAUAUCAGGGCACACGCCUUUAUAGAAACACUUGGUUUCAUUAAUCCAGAAUUUACUUUCUUCAUAGGUUUCAAAUGGAACUACUUAAUAUGUUGUUUUCGUAAUUCUUUUUGCUUUCAAAGUUUAUUGCUCAGUUGUGUUCGUAACCUCUGGGUUCUUACAGUUCUUUGUCUCUCUUACUUCAGAUUCUUUGCGUUUUUUAUCAUUCGUUUGUGAAGAAAUGGGUCGUACGAAGUGGUAGGGCUUUGAGGAAGGCACUUGCCACCAAGGUGCGUUUUGUUUGGGUUUCUGAUGUCAAGAAAAUUAGAAUUGAUAAUUGCAAGCGAUUUUUUCCAAGAAACAAUCAGAUUAUUGAAUCUAAGUUGCUAAUUGUUUAAUUUUGUAUAUGCUGCAAUUAAAUCAGCACCCGCAACUGGAGGAGUCAAGAAGCCUGACUGCUACCGCCCUGGAAUCGUCACUUCGGUAAGUUUUCAACACAAUAUAGUUCAAAUCCUCUGAAUCAUGUUCUUGAAUUCUAUAUGUAUCGUGUUCUUUGCAUUUCGUUAUCUGAAAUCUGUUCUUUGAAUUUGGUUACCGGAAUCAUGCCUAAUGUUUGAUGUGGCCAGUGGCUUUGUAUGGCUGGUUGGUGUGCAUUGGGAGUGUUUUUAGUUAAUGGCAGACAUAGGACAAAGGUGUGGGGCAGCGAAGUCAAGUGGGAAUAGGAAUUUAGGAUGGUACAGUUUUUGCUAAUUUAUGGGACUAGAAGUCUUCCUUUAUUUUUUGUCUUCGUGCGAUGAAAAAAAAUGGGUGAGUAAUUUGAACUCCAGUUUAAGAUAAUAACAUGUGAAUUUUUCGUAUUACUGUUUUUUCCCUUUCUAUUAAAAACAACCUUUGAUUUCUUUGAUAGUGCUUUUUUCUAUCUGUACUAUUGUUGAACUCCCCCAGUUAUCAGUUUUGGCUCAAAAAAAUUAUUUGAUGAUGACAUGCUGAAUUGAAUAUUGGCUAAAAUUAUAUUGAAAUUUGUAGCCCGAAGCAGAUAUCGUUAAAAGAGCUCUAAGUCACCCUCUGAAAUUAAUUGCCAUAAGUGAUGUUGUAAAUGGAAGCGUUGUCGAUGAGAAGGCAUUUUUUUUCGUUUCACUUUAUAUACUACGCUCACUAUCUGUUUAAUAUGUCUCAUCGUAUAAAUUAAAGUCUCAUUUCUCAGGUGCUUUCAAGUGACAACCCCAACUAUGGAUGCAUGCUGCCACUGGAAACUAUGAAAAUUUAAUAGUUGCUGGGAUCACUGAUGCAACUAAAGUGGGUUUCUUCAUCAAGUACUUCAUGAAUAGAAUAUUUCGGAGAUCCAAUUGCUGGGACAGAUUGAAGAAGGUGAAAAUCACAGGGGUGGAAUACUGGGGAGGGUGGUAGGGUUAUGGGGAGUGGGCUCUGGUUGGUUUCGGUUUGACCGAGGCCAUGGUUCGAUGGAAUCGAGGUGAUGAGGACGAUUCAUGAGGUCACAUCCACAAGAUAUAGGGCUUACACGUGGGGUUUAGGGGUUUCACGGGGAGGGUUACAGAGGGAGGGGGUGCACGCGUGAAUUGCAGAAGGGGAGGGAGAGAGGGAGAAAGAGGGGGAGUAGGGUUGCUAUAUUCAAGUUCUCUUUUUUAUUUUUACUUGAAUUUAAUUUGAUUUGAUUUGAUUUUUUUUUUUUUUUUUUUUUUUUUUUUGCUACAGGUUGAGAAUGCAAAAGCUCAGCUGGAGGUGGAGGUGAGAAUUUUAAUUUAAUUCAUGGUAUAUUGUUGUUUUUUUUUUUUUACUUUAUUUUUGUGGGAUUGUGCUGUUUUUGGGGAAAACAAUAUUAAAUUGAAGUAAAGUUUAGAUAUUUCUGUAAUUGGGAUUUAGAGUAAGAGAUGAAGAACUAAAUGUGAUUUCAAAAUUAAAAGUUUAGAACUUUUUUGGUUUGGAAGCUAAUUUUAAAUUCAGUUAGCUGAUUAAUUAAUGGAGAAAUGUAUAACGAAUGCGUGAUAUGUUUUUCGAUGCGUAUGAGCAGACAUGGGUACUGCUUCAGCGGCAACAGCUGCUACAUGAUGGUAGAUGAGGAAUUCUGAGAUGCUGAGUGCUCUUAGUUUAAGAGAUGAAGACUUGAUAAUGAUCGUUCCAAUUCUGCCUCAAGGUAUACUUGAUAAUGAUGUCGUUUAUGUGCAAUUCACUGUAUGAUGUUCGUGCCUUUAAUGGGCCUAUCGACAUAAUUCAAUGCACCCACCAAUUGGUUUUAUGAUCAUACAUCAUUCGUGAGAAAUGGGAUGGUGAGUUUCUCGAUACAGUUUUAAUUUUUGUGCGAAUAAUGUUUGUAAAAUGUCUGUUUUUAUUUAGUUCAUUGCAGAUUCUUAUUCCUUUAUUUAGUUCACCAUAUUCUUACUCUUUUAUUUAGUUCACCAUUCAUGCUUUUAAAGAUAACAAGUGCAUGGCUCUCUCAGAUGUUAGUUUUGGGUGGCAAUUGAAAGAUACAAGGAUAAACAAAAAUACUUACCAAUUGAAAGGAUAAAUUCAAUUGAAAAUAUUUGGUUCAUCAAUUAUUAUAGUAUGAGCUUUUUGCAUUAAAUGUCCUGUUUUCGGGGAGAGUGAUUCAUGUAAUUGGGUUUUAUUAAUUUUUUCAUGAUUUUAUGCAGUUUUUCGUUUAAAUUUGUGGAUUCUGAAGCACUUUUAUGAGUGUUAAUUUCUGUUUGUAUGUCUAAAAUCUGUUUGGAAUUUGGCUGUUUCUUCAAUUUCAUCACCACCCAUUCUCACAACUUCAUCUAAAGUGUUUUGCAUGUAUAAGAUUCGUGUUCAUGGAGGUCAUUUCAAACGG